rnacentral:lncRNA from 1 species
GCCAAGGAAGGUCAGGUCAUGGGAGUCCAGACCUAGCUCCUCCGAGUUAAAGUCGUUUGCCCUAGGGCUUCCUAUCCCCAACACCUCUGAGAAGUGAGCGUGAAUGAUUUCCUCCUCCUGCGUAUGGUCGGUGACCCAACCAGUGCUUGAUCUGGUGAAUGUGAUUUUUCCUGCGCCUUGCAUUAACACGUUGGUGGAAAUUUUUUGUGUUAGCAUCACCCUCCUUGAGGUUGAAGAUUCGUGCAGUUUUUUUUUUGUUUUUUUUUUGCAUGCACGCUCAAGCACGGCCAGACUAAUGACCCUUCUUUUAAGUCUAGCCGUCAAAUCACACUCAUCCAUUUGAGAGCAGACGUUGUUCCUGCACGAUGUCGAGAUGUCGGAGAUUUUCUUUUGACUGGUGGUUCACUGCAGAAUAAACACUAGAUCACUAUUACGGAGAAAAAGAGUGCAUCUUGAUAAUCCUUAUUGCCCUUUCGGCAAUCAAAAUGCUGAAGAAACAGACUUACAUCUGCUUUGGGGCUCCGGCUUUGCUCAAGACUCUUGGAAUUCUUUGAUUCCAAAUAAGAAAAGAGGGACCUUCCUCUAUGGCGAAACUUUACUUGGAAUUGAUCAACUCCCAAAUGCUUUUGCACCAGAAAUUGUUAUUUUGGGUUGCUGGUCUAUUUGGAAUCAGAGAAAUGACAAGAUCUUUAGAGGCAUACAACAGACAAUCCAAUCUUGGAGGUUUCACUUCAAGCAAGACCUCAAACUCCUUCAGCAUAAGAUCAAACAGAAGCACUCCAAAGAAUUUAAGCUGUGGCUGCACAAUAACUUUUUAUCAAUGUUUACCGAAACAGGCAUUGCCUGACUUACUUCCUUUAUUUUCCUGGACCAUUUUGAUGCUUGUACCUGUAUUAUUAUUUGCUUUAUAAAAUAUACGUAGAACUAUUGUUCUAUGGUCUUUGCUUCAAAAAUAAACCAAGAUUUGCCCCCAUGUGACAGUAACCACAAUGAUCUAAGGCUUUCCACCUCAACAAUCUGGACCAUCUUUGUGGUGGUAGUGGUUAGACUCAGAUUAAUUUCAAUCUGGAAGCAAAGCAGUUGUCCUGAAUGAACACGCAGCAAAAGCUGAAACAUGGGGAGCGUGGGAGUUUUUCAGGCUGGCAAAGACCAAAUGAUGAACGGUCCAACAUUAAGAUAGAAUCAAUCACACCCUCUACAUCCUCUCUCUCUCUCUCUCUCUCUCUCUCUCUUUUGAGAUCGCAUCGUCUCUUUUCUACUACUCCCCCCUCUCCCACUCCAAGAAAAGAUCAUCUCAUGUGCAAACACAGGUAAAGAGCAACCAUGGGUGACGCUGACCACCAGGCCCUAGGUGUAGUAUGACUGCCACUACUACUAGUAGUGGUAAAUUAAUCCCCUAGAACUAUCACAUAUACAAAAGCUGGGAAGAAGANNNNNNNNNNNNNNNNNAGCGGUUGAAACAAAGCAAAAGCGAUUAGGAGGAGAAGGAACAUGUCGGCGCCCGUCUGCCGAUGCAUCCGAGCACGUGGCUCCGUCAUGGCAGAGCAUAAACAAGCAUAGCCCAUCCUCCCCUCCCCACCAUCCCUCCAUCCACAGGCACCAAGAGAGAAAGAUUCCCGGUCUCCAACGCUUGCAACACCGCCAUUGCCCACUGUCAUGCAACAAAGUCGCCUCUCCUCCUCAACACCAGUACCUGAUACAAGAAGAGGUUCAGAGAUACAUAAAAAAUGUAAUCCGAUGCAGCAGUGCAGUUGAUGUACAGUAGAUGGGCAGUAGAUGUAUCUACUGUUCCUUCCAUAAUACUCCUACUGCUAGUACUUCUCCGGUACUGGCGGUAGUCCAAAUGCGAGCGUUAUGAUGUCCUGACCAGCCGGGGAGGAGGAGGACUUUUGGACCAGGGCACGGUGGCCUCGCUUGGCCCCAACGCUGUUGGGGCGCGCGCGCGCGCUUGCGCUUACUUUGCCGGAAAGCAACGAUGGCCGUGGCGUCCCUCGAGACGGAGCACGACACCGAGCGAUAGGAUUGACCCCGCUUCCACUUCCAACUGGGAAAUGGGAUCACACUGCCGUCCGGUUCUUUGUUAAACCGGUCGAAUUCUCCACUUGUGUGGUGCAUUGUGUGGACUUAACACUGCUACAGAUAGCAGCUCUUAACUUGUCAAGAGUACGACCGCUAUCAGAUCAGAUUAUGAUAUACUGUACAUAAACAACGUUUGGUUUUGGUAGGUUCUGCCGUCCGUGGCAGUGUGAUUAGAAGCGAAAGGAUGAAAAUAGAUCCUCUUGAUUGGAUUCCUUGUUUAGUUAGCCAUUGGUGGUCGACUCUGGUGGUGACAGACAAAAUGCUAGGAGUAGUAGAACAUUGAUAUGACAGUGGGCUGAUCAACCGACGAAAACAACCAGUACGAUGAACUGUAUUUGUUACUGGCAUUGUGUGGCGCUGAAGCAAGGAAUGUGGAUGAGCUUGUGUUUUUUUUUACCUGCGGUGGGGCUUAGAACGGCAGGCUUUUGGAGGUGGAGGAGGAGGUGAGCGCCUUGAGGCUGUCCGGCGGCGCCAGGUCCUGCGGCAGCCGCGCGCGCCGCACGAUCCGCCGCAUGUUGCUCUGGAGGCUCUGCUGCACCAGCUGCCGCACGGCGCGCUUCUCGUUGCUCAUGCAGCAGGUCUCCCGCUCCGCCGCCUCCUCUUCCUCCUCCUCCUCCCGGUGCCGGCCUCCGCGCUCCUGCGGCGCCGACACCGUGGCCACGGUGCCGACACCGUCGGCCACCUGCUUGCCCUUGUCGGCGCGCAGGAUCUCCAGGAUCCUCGACGCGCGCUUCUGCGCCAGCGCCGUGCCCACGAGCGUCAGCUCGAGCAGCGCCGACGUGGCGCCGGCCUCGGCCAUGGCCGCGCGGUCGCCGUAGCUCCGGUGCGCCAGCACCAUCAGCACGUACGCGGCCUUCUCCUGGCACCCGGCCUCGUCGGACCAGUUGAGCACGUCCACCAGCACCGGCACCGCGUCCGGGGCGCGGCUCACCGCGCGCCGGCCCUCGGGGCAGGCGGCCACGAUGUUGCAGAGCGCGGCGAGGGCGCGGUCCGACGCCGACAUGUCCCCGAUGGCCGCGAUGAGCGACGGCGCGAGCCCCGCGGACAGCAGGUGCGGCGCGUUCGCCGCCGCGAUGGAGAGGUUGAGGAGCGCACGCAGGGCGUCGUGCCGGACCUGCUCGGUGGCCCCGGCCUCGAACGCGCGCACGAGGAAGGGCGCCGCCCCGGAGGCGCCGAUGAUGGGCUUGUUCGCGUCCAGCGCGCUGAGGCAGAGGAAGUUGGCGACGAGCGCCCCCGUCAGAGCGCCGGACGCGCCCUCGGCAAUGCAGAGCAUCUUGUGCACGGCGCCGGCCUGGACGAUCGCGGCCUUGUUCCUGCGAAUCACAACAAACAACUCUCACACAGAAUCAGGAACCGAACACCCAGAUCUGAUCAGCAAGAAACAGGGGAGCGCAAGAAGCGCGUGGCGGAACAGAAAACUCACGUGUCAUUGCCGAUCCCCAUGUUGAGGAGCGCGUACAGCGCGGCGGCCAGCAGCUCCUCGCCGCCUCCACUCUGGUCGAGCAUGGCGACGAGCGGCGGGAUAGCGCCGAGCAUCGCGAGCAUCUCCCUGGCCAAGGCGUCGUCCUUGGCCUUCCUCCGCACGACCGUGGCCGCCUCGACACGCCACGAGACGCCGCCGGCAACGUCUCCUUCUCCAUCCUGAAGGGCAGCGACCACGACCUUCAGCUCCUCCAGCGCCGCUGUCUUCCGGACGGCCGCGUCCGCCUCGCCCUCGUCGUCGCCGCACUCGGACGGCUCCGCCCUGAGCAGCUCCGCGAGCCGGUCAGACCGCGGCCUCGGCUGCGACUGCGCGCGUGGCUGGGGCGACCGGAAGGACGUGCGGCCGCGGCAAGAACCGCCGCCACCGCCGCCGCCGCACGUGAGGACCUCAAGAAGCUUCCUCCGCAUGGUGGCGGCCGAGAAGACCGGCCAGAGCCGGAAACCGCCCGCGUCGGCGUGCACGCACCUGACUACCAUCGCUCGUGCUCCUUCCCCCGCAGGUUCUACAGCUUCGACGGCCGCAAGUCACAUUGGCCGGAGGAGGGAGAGGGACACUUGGCGAAGAAGGGAGACGCGCUUCGGUAAUGGCGUGCAGCGGAAGCCGUGGCGCGGCGCGGCGCGGCGCAGUAACAGAGAAGAAGGGUUUAUACUCCGUGCGAAAAGGCAAGGUGGUCGCCUUGGACUGACAGGGUGGGUCCAUGCGGCCAGUAUAAAAAAAUGGACUCCAAUUAAAAACCGAGCGCCAUUAAUGCUGGAUUUACAGUUGGAUUGGAUUUUGCAGUGGAGGGCCAUGGAGGAGGUGAAUUUAAAAAGGUGUCUGCUGUGCGGCAGCAGGUGAUUUGCAGGCCACGAUCUGCAAGCGAGCUAAAGUAUUUUUAUUACUACUGCAGGAGUAUCAGGCUUGGUGGAUGGAGCAAAUUUGAUUGGUUUUUCGCACUUCGCCGCGGUGAUCUUAGGUUUUUGAAAAGCUGGUUUAUCUCUGUUGCUCCGAGAGUCUGGCGGUGGUGCAAAUCUGGGAUCUAUCGUGGCGCGUUUACAAUCUGGGAGUGGUUGUGGGGUGAGUGAUGAGGGGUAGGAGUAGUAGUUACUGUGUGCAUGCACUGCCACAUGCUUGACACGCCGCGCGCCGUGCCUAUGUCUGCAUUGACGCAGCACAAGAUUUUGUAGCUCCGCCGACGGAGAGGUCCAAGAUACCAGUCUACUCCCGCUGAUUGGCUCUUGUCGGUAUCAUACGCCCUCAUUACCACCUUAUCAGGCGCAUUUGCUGAUGGGUAUUAAUAUGUGGAUUGCAAUUUUACUACCUUCGUUCUCAAAUAUAAGUUUCUAAAAGUUUUUAUUAGAAACUAAAUACGGACAUAUGUAGACAUAUAUUGGAGUAUAAAUUCACUUAUUUUUUUCAGUAUGUAGUCUUUUAAUGAAAUUUUUAAAAAGAUUUAUAUUUAGAAACGUAUGGGGUAGCACGUACUGUGUGAUCAAUGCAUGUACAACGCAGGAUUAAUACAUGAAAUAAUUCCUUAUUUAACAUUAUCUUAAAUUGCAGGUUCUUAUUUGACAUAAAAAAAUAUAUCUAACAACGAUUCUAAAUUUUAUUUUCGUGAAAUGGCCGAACUGUCACCAAAAAAAGACAGCGACGACGAGGACAACUCUGGCGACGAGUAGAUCCGUCUCGAUCCCUGCGCGUCUUCGACCGAUACUUCCGCGAGAAGGACAGCAAGGAAGUCGGGAAGGGCAAGGGUAGCCUUGGAUGAUAUCCACCAUAGCCAAACAUGCCAAAUUUUGAUAGUCCGAUGACAUGUUAGUAGUGAUGGAGUAGCCGGACGAUGUGUGUAAUGCAUCGACGAAGUUGCAUGAAUUUGUAUAGAUUUGAGAUAUGAUGUUCGAGGUGCCCGGUUGUGAGAAGGCAAAUUUAAGGCUUGUGAGUGUCCGCGGACGCGUCCAAACGCGUCCGUGGACGUUUGAGGGAUCGGAUUUGCUAAGGUUGUCUGUAAUGGGAGUAUUGUAGCUAGUAUCACUUAUGUCAACUAGGUGGUUUUGAUGAGAUGACAUAGAAAUAAAUGAAGAAAGAGAAGGUUGAGUAUCAUAUCAUGAUACCGUAUCAUAAUAAAUGUUAUGCUACCAUGUGUCAUGCAUGACAACAAAUAAAUUACUACCCCUCCGUUCCUAAAUAUAAGACCUUUUAGAUUCCACUAUGAACUACAUACAGAUGUAUGUAGUCAUAUUUUAGGAUGUAGAUUCACUCAUUUUGCUCCGUAUCUAGUCUAUAGUGAAAUCUCUAAAAGGUCUUAUAUUAAGGAACAGAGGGAGUAUAUGAUACUAAACUAGUACCCGUAGGUCGGAACAGUAGGCCUCCGAAACCCCACAGCUUUGAGUCCUGUACGGGACAAGGGUGAUGAGGUUAUUUGGGGAGCGCUCUGCGUGACUACUGGUUUCUUCAUCAUGGACCGGACGACGACUUCUUCCCUCGACGUCAACAACCUUUUCGACAACAUGGCCGGUGACGACGUCAACGCCAAUCCUACUUAUGUUGCUACUGCAACUCAGUAUGUGUUUGUGUUCCAUUCAUACUCAUCACUUCAGGUGCUACUUGCAUACUCUCUGUAUGGUCUCAUGUCUUGUGUUAUAAUUUCUAUGGUAGUCAUGAUUUAUCUACUAUUUCUGCUAGUAAAAUCACAUGGUAAAUCGCUCAUAUUUCCAACAAUCCAAAAAUCUUAUCAUAGGCAAUUUACCCCGAGCGGUUUUGCUGCUUCCAUGAGGCCUCCUAUGUUUGAGGGUGUGCACUAUAAGACGUGGUGUGUGAGUGUAAGCACAAUUGCUCCCUAAGGUGGUUUUGGUAAUUAAUCACAACGUAUGCAUCAUUGGACUAAUGAGUUUAUUCAAGUAUAUUUAAGAAAAGUUCAAUAUUCUUUGGCUAUAGGAUUGUGUGGAGACGUCCCUUUGGUGGAAGGAAGGAAUAGGAUUGGCUCAAGCUUCAAGAAAGAAGACUCUACAUUUUAUAUUUGUGAGAAAUCACAUUGAGUCCAUAGGAAAGCCAAUACUAUUAAAAGGGGAUGAGGUACUAUGAUGAAUUGGUUGCUCAAGUUCUUAGAGAUAGCCUCCAAAAAUACUCAGCCAUUCUCCCACAAAAUAUAUCUCUCCAAGUUACAUAAGCAAAAUCGGUGCCACCAACAUUUCCUACUCGGUCCUACCGAUUUUACACUUAGACAGAUCCUAUGUCAAACCCACCAUCUCGGUACAACCAACAUUCCUAUUGCUGCCGCAAUAUUGUGUGACCAACUUUCUAUUGAGGAGAUUUGAAGUUUGAGAAAUUCUGAGUUUGAAAUCGGUCUCACUCAGAUUUGGAAACGAGUCUAGGCCAUCGUAUGGGCACCACCGAGAUUCCUAUAUCGGUAUCACCGGGAUUUGGAAACCAGUCUAGGUCAUCGUAUCGGUACCACCGAGAUUCCUAUAUUGGUCUCACCGAGAAUUCAAAAGUUGCCACAUUCAGUGCAACUCGAUACCACCGAGAUUCAUUUCGGUGUCACCUAGUUGGGCAAUCAUGUUGUAAUAGUUGGAUUUUGGGAGAUGCCUAUAUAUACCCCUCCACCUACUUCUCAUUCGCACAGGAAGUACUCAGAACACACUUACACUUGCCACAUCCAUUUUCCUGAGAGAAAGACGCCUACUCAUGUGUUGAGAUCAAAAGAUUCAAUCCUACCAUUUGAAACUUGAUCUCUAGCCUCCCCAAGUUGCUUUCCACAAGAUCAAUCUAUCCUACCCCUGCCAAAUCUAAGAGAGAGUGAUUGAGUGUUGAGGAGAUUAUCUUUUGAAGCACAAGACCAAGGAGUUCAUCGUUCUACCAUAUCUGUUACCUUUUGGAGGGUGAUACCUCCUAGAUUGGUUAGGUGUUGCUUGGGAGCCUCCUACUUCGUUUUGUGGAGUUGAACCAAAAUGUUUGUAAGGGCAAGGAGAUCGCCUACUUCAUGAAGAUCUACCGUGAGUGAGGCUAGUCUUGUGUGGACGGAAGCCAUGGUGGAAUAGACAAGGCCGCUUCUUUGUGGACCCCUUAUGGGUGGAGCCCUCAAUGGACUCUCGUGGUAAUUACACUCCGUGGGUUGAAGUCUCCACUAACAUGGACGUACGAUAGCGCCACCUAUCGGAACCAUGCAAAAAAUUGCCGUGUCAACCUUUGAGUUUGAUCUCCCUACCUUACCGUCUACUUUACACUUGCAUGUUUUACUUUCCGCUGCUAUACUCUUAUAUAUGCAUGGGUAGGGUGUACUUGACUAGUCAUAGUUCCUAAAAUUGGCCCACACUUUAAAUUGGAAGAAGGCUAAGUUUUUAUGUUAUCAAGUAGUCUAUUCACCCCUCCCCCCUAGACAUACAUUCGAUCCUACAAGUGAUAUCAGAGCUUUGGCCUCCAUUGCAUUGGUUUCACAACCUAGAAGAGUAUGGCUUCUAGUGAGGGAAAUUAUCACAUUAGAGGUCUUAUUUCGAUGGCACUAACUUUGCUAGUUGGAAGCAUAAGCUGAAAAUGCAUAUUCUUGGUCAUAAUCCUGCCAUUUGGGUUGUUGUUCAUGUUGGUGUGCAAGGUAAUUUCUUCGGAGAAGGAAAAGAACCGGAUCGUGGUGCCACAUCGAAAGAACUGAAGAUGCUGCAAUUCAAUGCUCAAGCUUGUGAUAUUAUAUUCAACUGCUUGUGUCUUGAAGAAUUCAACAAAAUCCUUCGCCUUGAGAAUGCAAAGGAAAUUUGGGAUACUUUGAUCGAUAUGCACGAAGGAACUGUUUCUGUGAGGGAACCUAAGUUUGAUGUGCUUCAAAGUCAGCUUGACAAUUUCAAAAUGAACGGUGGUGAAAGAGUCGCUCAGAUGUAUUCUAGGCUAGCUCUCAUCACAUAUGAGAUUGUCGGCUUACGAAGUGAAGAGAUGACCGACAAAUUCAUCAUCAAGAAGAUACUUAGAGCCUUGUCCCAUCUGAUACUUGCGCAAAAGAAUGUGCCAUUAUCUGUCCACAUAUUGCUACUUGUUCUGUCCAACAAAAACUUCCUUAGAUUAGCGAGCAAUGAACAUUUUAGGUUUGAUAGUCCACCAGAUUGAAUCUCGGUGUCACCGAGUUGAAAAAUUCAGUAGUACCGAUCUUGGUUUUAGGGUUGCUUAGAAUGGUCUCAGUGGAACCGAGUUCUUCUUUUUAGUCAAACCGAAAAGGGGUGCCAAGUUUCUGUAAAAGAGAUCAUGUUUCCUGGUGCCUCUAGAAUUUUAAACUCGAUGGAACUGAAAUCCAAUUUUGCUGAAAGCUAAAAUUAAAAUUUUCAGAGUUCAAAUUUGACAAAACUUCUGCAAUUUUUUGAUGCUUAUCUUUUCAAGCUCUUCUAUAUGUUUUCACAUGGUGAGCUUGUUUGCUUGUCUGCCAGUCUGCCAUUUUGCUUGUUUGUUGAUCUUGCAAGAUAUCAGGUUCCAAUGACAGUGAGAACAACUUUAGUGAGCCCAAUGUUGAAUCUGAUUCAUGCACUAGUCCUGAGAGGACCCCUUCCGAUCCAGGUACCCCCAGCACCUAUGGCAUGCCCAAGGUAGCUACCAGGUCCAUGAAAAGGAUAAAUUCUCAUGAAGAAGAUUCUGAUUUUGUUCCUAAAGUUUUUGCUCUCCAGAAGCAGAAGGAGAAGUCUGCCGUCACAAAGGUAGUAAGGAAAGAGUAUGCUAAACCAUCUGGAAAUAAAAAGCCAGGUGAGAAGAGACCUAGGAAGAGGAUUGUCCAUGUCAUUGGUAGACAAACCUCCAUGUAUGAAGAUCCAUGUGCUGCUGAUGGUGAGGAGGAAGAAAUACGAGCCGAGGUCCCUCCUCCAAAGAAGAAGAAGCUUAUGGGUGAUGCUAUGCCAUAAAAGCCUUCUGCUGCUAAGAAGCUUGUAGCUCCCAAUAGGACUACAAAGGACAUACCUGAAGCUAUCAAAGAGAAAGGCACUGCUUUGAGAUCAUUUGCUGCAGAGGAAGAAGAGGAUGCACUUAUCCUUAUGAAGCUAAGACUGUUGGUGAACAUUGCAUGGGAAACAAAAAAUUUCCUACGCACACGAAGACGUAUCAUGGUGAUGUCCAUUUACGAGAGGAGAUUAGAUCUACGUACCCUUGUAGAUCGCUAAGCAGGAAGCGUUUAAGGAACGCGGUUGAUGUAGUGGUACAACUUCGUGAUUCAAAUCACCGUCGUCCCAUAAUCCGUUCUGAUCUAGCGCCGAACGGACGAUACAUCCGCGUUCAGCACACGUACAGCUCGAUGACGAUCUCGGCCUUCUUGAUCCAGCAACUGAGAUGGAGAAGUAGAUGAGUUCUCCGGCAGCGUGACGACGAUCUCGUGGUGGUGAUGAUCUACUCCUCCACGGCUCCGCCCGAGCUCCACAGAAAUCCGAUCUAGAGGUAAAACUACGUGGUAUAGGUUUGAGUUGCACGUGACAAAGUUGUGUCUCAAAAGCCCUAAAACCACCAAUAUAUAUAGGAGGAGGGGAGGGGCUAGCCUUGGGGCUCAAGGUGCCCCUUGGUGCGCCGGCCGAAGGGAGGAGGUGGACUCCCACCCCAAUUCGGUUUGGGAGAAGGAGUUCACUCCUUCCUUCCCACCUCCCUCUUUCCUUUUUUUCUUUCCUUUGGUGUUUUUCCACUUGUGGCGCCAUGGCCCUAUUGGGCUGGCCUCACCAGCCCACUAAGGGCUGGUGCGCCACCCUAGGGUCACUGGGCUCACUCUCGGGUGGGUGGGCCCCUCUCGGUGAAUACCCGAAAUCCAUUCGUCACUCCUGGUACACUACCGGUAAUGCCCGAAACUUUCCUGUGACCAAAUGAAGCCAUCCUAUAUAUCAAUCUUCAUUUCCGGACCAUUCCGGAAACCCUCGUGACGUACAUGAUCUCAUCCGGGACUCCGAACAACACUCGGUAACCACACAUAUAACUCAACUAUACUAAAACAUCAUCGAACCUUAAGUGUGCACACUCUGCGGGUUCGAGAACUAUGUAGACAUGCCCAAACGCACUCCUGGGUCAAUAUCCAAUAGCGGGACCUCGAUGCCCAUAUUGGAUCCUACAUAUUCUCUGAAGAUCUUAUCGGCUGAACCUUAGUGUCAAGGAUUCAUAUAAUCCCGUAUCUCAUUCCUUUUGUCAUUCGGUAUGUUACUUGCCCGAGAUUUGAUCGUCGUUUUCCGCAUACCUAUUUCAAUCUCGUUACCGACAAGUCUUUUUACUCGGUCCGUAAUACAAGAUCCCGUGACUUACACUUAGUCACAUUGCUUACAAGGCUUGUGUGUGAUGUUGUAUUACCGAGUGGGCCCGGAGAUACCUCUCCGUCACACGGAGUGACAAAUCCCAGUCUUGAUCCAUACUAACUCAACGGACACCUUCGGAGAUACCUGUAGAGCACCUUUAUAGUCACCCAGUUACGUUGUGACAUUUGAUACACACAAGGUAUUCCUCCGGUGCCAGUGAGUUAUAUGAUCUCAUGGUCAUAGGAACAAAUACUUGACACGCAGAAAACAAUAGCAAUAGAAUGACAUGAUCAUUAUCCUACGUAUAUAAUUUGGGUCUUGUCCAUCACAUGAUUCUCCUAAUGAUGUGAUCCCGUUAUCAAGUGACAACACUUGCCUAUGGCCAGGAAACCUUGAUCAUCUUUGAUCAACGAACUAGUCAACUAGAGGCUCACUAGGGACAGUGUGUUGUCUAUGUAUCCACACAUGUAUUUGAGUUUCCAAUCAAUACAGUUCUAGGAUGGAUAAUAAACGAUUAUUAUGAACAAGGAAAUAUAAUAAUAACUAAUUUAUUAUUGCCUCUAGGGCAUAUUUCCAACAGUCUCCCACUUGCACUAGAGUCAAUAAUCUAGUUCACAUCACCAUGUGAUUUUAACGAAUCCAACACCCAUAUAGUUCUGGGGUCUGAUCACGUCUUGCUCGUGAGAGAGGUUUUAGUCAACGGUUCUGAAUCUUUUAGACCCGUGUGUGCUUUACAAAUUUUUGUGUCAUCUUAUAGAUGUUGCUACUACGUGCUAUUCGGAAAUACUCCAAAUAUCUACUCUACUAUGCGAAUCCGUUUUACUACUCAUAGUUAUUCGGAUUAGUGUCAAAGCUUGCAUCAACGUAACCCUUUACGACGAACUCUUUAACCACCUCCAUAAUAGAGAAAAAUUCCUUAGUCCAUUAGUUAUUAAUGAUAACUUUGACCGUUGUUCUAGUAAUUCAAUCCUGGAUCACUCUUCGUACCCCUUGACACACUAAUGGAAGGCACACUUUAGGUGCGGCACACAACAUGGCAUACUUUAGAGUCUACGGCUAAGGCACAGGGGACGACCUUCGUCCUUUCUCUUUCUUUUGCCGUGGUUGGGCUUUUGAGUCUUACUCAUAUUCACACCUUACAACACACCCAAGAAUUCCUUCUUUGCUGAUCUAUUUUGAACUCCUUCAAAAACUUGUCAAGGCAUGCAUUUCAUUUGAAAGUUCUGUUUAGCAUUUUGAUCUAUCUCCAUAGAUCUUGAUGCUUAAUGUUCAAGUAGUUCUAUCCAGGUCUUCCUUUGAAAAACCCCUUUCAAACAACCUUUAUGCUUUACAUAAAUUUUACAUUACUUCCGAUCAACAAUAUGUCAGCCACAUAUACUUAUCAGAAAUUCUAUAGUGCUCCCACUCACUUCUUUGGAAAUACAAGUUUCUCAUAAACCUUGUACAAACCCAAAACCUUUGAUCAUCUCAUCAAAGCGUAUAUUCCAACUCCGAGAUGCUUGCACUAGUCCAUAAAAGGAUCGCUAGUGCUUGCAUACUUGUUAGUAUCCUUAGGAUCAACAAAACCUUAUAGUUGUAUCACAUACGACCUUUCCUCAAGGAAACCGUCGAGGAAACAAUGUUUUGACAUCCUGUGUGCAAUAUUUCAUAAAUAAUGUAGCAACAGAUAAUAUAAUUCCAACUGACUUUUAGCAUCGCUAUGAGUGAGAAAGUUUCAUCAUAGUCAACUCUUUGAUCUUGUCGGAAACAUCUUUGCGACAACUCGAGCUUUUCUUAAUGGUGACUUUUCACCAUCAUCGUAUGUCUUCCUUUUAAAGAUCCAUCUUUACUUAAUAGUGCUACGACCAUCAAGUAGUUCUUCCAAAGUCUACACUUUGUUUUCAUACAUAGAUCCUCUCUCGGAUUUCAUGGUCUCCAACCAUUUGUCGGAAUCCGGGCCCACCAUCGCUUCUUCAUAGCUCAUAGGUUCAUUGUUGUUCAACAACAUGACCUCCAAGACAGGGUUACCAUACCACUCUGUAGUAGUACGCGACCUUGUCGACCUACGAGGUUUGUAGUAACUUGACUCGAAGCUGAAUGAUCACCAUCAUCAGUUUCCACUUCAAUUGGUGUAGGCGCCACAGGAACGUCUUCCUGCGCCCUCCUACACACUCGUUUAAGUGACGAUUUACUAACCUCAUCAAGUUCCACCACCCUCCCACUCAAUUCUUUCGAGAGAAACCUUUCCUCGAGAAAGGACCCUUUUCUAGAAACAAACACUUUGCUUCUGGAUCUGAGAUAGGAGAUGUAUCCAACUGUUUUGGAUAUCCUAUGAAGAUGCAUUUAUCCGCUUUGGGUUCGAUCUUAUCAGAAUGAAACUUUUUCACAUAAGCAUCGCAGCCCCAAACUUUCAAGAAACGACAACUUAGGUUUAUCCAAACCAUAGUUCAUACUGUGUCAUCUCAACGGAAAUAUGCGGUGCCCUAUUUAAAGUGAAUGUGGUUGUCUCUAAUGCAUAACCCAUAAACGAUAGUGGUAAUUCGAUAAGAGACAUCAUAGUAUGCACCGUAUCGAAUAGGGCGCGGCCAUGACGUUCGGACACACCAUCACACUAUGGUGUUCUAGGUGGCAUGAAUUGCGAAACAAUUUCCACAUUGUCUCAACUGUGUACCAAAAACUCGCAACUCAGAUAUUCAUCUCUAUGAUCAUAUCGUAGACAGAUUACCCUCUUGUCACGACGAUCUUCACUCAGAAAUAACUUUGAACUUUUCAAUAUUUCAGACUUGUGAUUCAUCAAGUAAAUACUCCUGUAUCUACUCAAAUCGUGAGUGAAGUAAGAACAUAACGAUAUCCACUGCGUGCCUCAGCACUCAUUGGACUACACACAUAAAAAAUGUAUCACUCCAACAAGUUACUCUCUUGUUCCAUGUGGUAUGAUUUGCAUGUCUCAAGUGAUUCAAAAUCAAGUGAGUCCAAACGAUCCAUCUGCAUGGAGUUUCUUCAUGAGUUAAUACCAAUAAGUAUGGUUUGCAUGCCUCAAACGUUUCAAAAAUGAGUGAGUACAAAGAUCCAUCAGCAUGGAGCUUCUUCAUGCAUUUUAUAUCGUCAUGACUCAAGCGGCAGUGCCACAAGUAAGUGCUACUAUCAUUAUUACUUUGUAUCUUUUGGCACCAACAUUAUGAACAUGUGUAACACUACGAUCGAGAUUCAAUAAACCAUUGAGGGUAAUUAUUCAAGCAAAUAGAAUAACUAUCAUUCUCUUUAAAUGAAUAAUCGUAUUGCAAUAAACAAGAUCCAAUCAUGUUCAUGAUGAACUCAGACACCAAAUAACUAUUAUUUUAAUUUUAACACCAAUCCCGAUGGUAGAUGGAGCGUGCGAUGUUUGAUGAUAUCAACCUUGGAAACACUUCCAACACUUGUCGUCACCUCGCUUUUAGCUAGUCUCCGUUUAUUCCGUAGCUUUUAUUUCGAGUUACUAAUCACUUAGUAAUCGAACCGGUAUCUAAUACCCUCGUGCUACUAGGAGUACUAGUAAAGUACACAUCAAUAUCAUGUAUAUCAAAUAUACAUCUGUCAACUUUGCCAGCCUUCUUAUCUACCAAGUAUCUAGGGUAGCUCCGCCUCAGUGACCGUUCCCCUCAUAACAGAAGCACUUAGUCUCGGGUUUAGGUUCAAUCUUGGCUUUAUUCAUUAGAGCAGCAACUGGUUUGUUGUUUCAUGAAGUAUCCCCUCUAUCCCUUGCCCUUAUUGAAACUAGUGGUUUUACUAACCAUCAACAUUUGAUGCUCCUUCUUGAUUUCUACUUUCAUAGUGUCAAACAUUGCGAAUCGCUCAAGGAUCAUCAUAUGUAUCCUUGAUAUGUUAUAGUUCAUCAUGAAGCUCUAGCAGCUUAGUGGCAGUGACUUUGGAGAACCAUCACUAUCUCAUCUGGAAUACUAACUCCCACUUGAUUCAAGCGAUUGUUGUACUCAGACAAUCUGAGAACAUGAUCAACGAUUGAGCUUUUAUCCUUUACUUUGUAGACAAAUAAUCUUGUCGGAGGUCUCAUACCUCUCAACAAGGGCACGAGCAUGAAAUCUCAAUUUCAUCUCUUAGAACAUCACUUAUGUUCCGCGACGUUUUCAAAAACGUCUUCGGUGUCUUUCUUCUAAGCCAUUAGGUAUUACGCACUGAACUAUCACGUAGUCAUCAAAAACGUGUAUGUCAGAUGUUCGCAACAUCCACAGACGACGCUCGAGGUGCAGCACACCGAGUGGUGCAUUAAGGACAUAAGCCUUCUGCACAGCAAUGAGGACAAUCCUCAGUUUUACGGACUCAGUCCACAAAGUUGCUACUAUCAACUUUCAACUAAAUUUUCUCUAGGAACAUAUAAAAACAGUAGAGCUAUAGCGCAAGCUACAUCAUAAUUCGCAAAGACCAUUAGACUAUGUUCAUGAUAAUUAGUUCAACUAAUCAUAUUACUUAAGAACUCCCACUCAAAAAGUACAUCUCUCUAGUCAUUUGAGUGGUACAUGAUCCAAAUCCACUAACUCAAGUCCGAUCAUCACGUGAGUUGAGAAUAGUUUCAAUGGUAAGCAUCUCUAUGCUUAUCAUAUCAACUAUACGAUUCAUGCUCGACCUUUCGGUCUCAUGUGUUCCGAGGCCAUGUCUGCACAUGCUAGGCUCAUCAAGCUUAACCCGAGUGUUCCGCGUGUGCAACUGUUUUUCACUCGUUGUAUGUGAAUGUUGAGUCUAUCACACCCGAUCAUCACGUGGUGUCUCGAAACGACGAACUGUCGCAAUGGUGCACAGUCGGGAGAACACUAUUAUGUCUUGAAAUUUUAGUGAGAGAUCACCUUAUAAUGCUACUGUCGUUCUAAGUAAAAUAAGGUGCAUAAAAGGAUUAACAUCACAUGCAAUUCAUAAGUGACAUGAUAUGGCCAUCAUCUUGUGGUUCUUGAUCUCCAUCACCAAAGCACCGGCACGAUCUUCUUGUUACCGGCGCCACACCAUGAUCUCCAUCAACGUGUCGCCAUCGGGGUUGUCGUGCUACUUAUGUUAUUAUUACUAAAGCUACGUCCUAGCAAUAUAGUAAACGCAUCUGCAAACACAAACGUUAGUUUAAAGACAACCAUAUGGCUCCUGCCGGUUGCCGUACCAUCGACGUGCAAGUUGAUAUUAACUAUUACAACAUGAUCAUGUCAUACAUCCAAUAUAUCACAUCAUGUCAUUGGCCAUAUCAUAUCACAACCAUACCCUGCAAAAACAAGUUAGACGUCCUCUAAUUUGUUGUUGCAUGUUUUACGUGGCUGCUAUAGGUAUCUGGUAUGAUCGCAUCUUACUUACGCAAAAACCACAACGGAGAUGUGCAAAUUGCUAUUUAACCUCUCGAAGGACCACCUCGGUCAAAACCAAUUCAACUAAAGUUGAAGAAACCGACACCCGCCAGUCAUAUUUAUGCAAUGAGGUUGCAUGUCAAUCGAUGAAACCAGUCUUUUGUAAGCGUACGAAUAAUGUCGGUCCGGGCCGCUUCAAUCCAACAAUACCGCUGAAUCGAGAAAAGACUAAGGAGGGCAGCAAAUCGAACAUCACCGUCCACAAAACACAUUGUGUUCUACUCAAUAUAACAUCUAUGCAUGAACCUAGCUCAUGAUGCCACUGUUGGGGAACGUUGCAUGGGAAACAAAAACUUUCCUACGCACACGAAGACCUAUCAUGGUGAUGCCCAUCUACGAGAGGAGAUUUGGAUCUAUGUACCCUUGUAGAUCGCACAUCACGAAGCGUUAAGAAACGCGGUUGAUGUAGUGGAACGUCUUCACGUCCCUCGAUCAGCCCCACGAACCGUCCCACAAACCAUCCAACGAUCCGUCCCACGAUCCGUUCCGAUCUAGUGUCGAACGGACGGCACCUCCGCGUUCAGCACACGUACAGCUCGACGAUGAUCUCGACCUUCUUGAUCCAGCAAUCAAGAAGGAGAAGUAGAUGAGUUCUCCGGCAGCGUGACGGCGCUCCGGUGGUGGUGACGAUCUACCCCUGCAUGGCUCCACCCGAGCUCCACAGAAAUACGAUCUAGAGGAAGAACUAUGGUGUCUAGAUCUCAGUUGCACGUGGCAAAAGUUGUCUCAAAUCAGCCCUAAAUCACCACUAUAUAUAGGAGGGAGGGGGGAGCCUUGACUUGAGGGCCAAGCCCUCAAGGAUGCGCCGGCCAAGGGAGAGGAGGAGUCCUACUCCAAUGCUAUUCCAAUUAGGAUUGGAAAGUGGAGUCCUUCUCUUCUUUCCCACCUCUCCUUUUUUUUCUUUUUCUUUGGUUUUCUUUCCUUGACGCCAAGUCCCUCUUGGGUUGUCCCACGAGCCCACUAAGGGCUGGUGCACCACCCCUAGGGCCAUUGGGCUUCCCCCGGGUGGGUUGCCCCCCUCCCGGUGAACUUCUGGAACCCAUUCGUCACUCCCGGUACAUUCCCGGUAAUGCCCGAAAACCUUCCGGUAACCAAAUGAAGCCAUCCUAUAUAUCAAUCUUCAUUUCCGGACCAUUCCAGAAACCCUCGUGACGUCCGUGAUCUCAUCCGAGACUCCAAACAACAUUCGCUAACCACACAUAUAACUCAACUAUACUAAAACAUCAUCGAACCUUAAGUGUGCACACCCUGCGGGUUCGAGAACUAUGUAGACAUGCCCCGAGGCACUCCUCGGUCAAUAUCCAAUAACGGGACCUAGAUGCCCAUAUUGGAUCCUACAUAUUCUCCGAAGAUCUUAUCGGUUGAACCUCAGUGUCAAGGAUUCAUAUAAUCCCGUAUGUCAUUCCCUUUGUCCUUCGGUAUGUUACUUGCCCGAGAUUUGAUCGUCGGUAUCUGCAUACCUAUUUCAAUCUCGUUACCGGCAAGUCUCUUUACUCAUUUCGUAAUACAAGAUCCUGUGACUUACACUUAGUCACAUUGCUUGCAAGGCUUGUGUGUGAUGUUGUAUUACCGAGUGGGCCCCGAGAUACCUAUCCGUCACACGGAGUGACAAAUCUCAGCCUUGAUCCAUACUAACUCAACGGACACCUUCGGAGAUACUUGUAGAGCACCUUUAUAGUCACCCAAUUACGUUGUGACGUUUGAUACACACAAGGUAUUCCUCCGGUGCCAGUGAGUUAUAUGAUCUCAUGGUCAUAGGAACAAAUACUUGACACGCAGAAAACAAUAGCAAUAAAAUGACACGAUCAAUAUGCUACGUAUAUAAUUUUGGUCUUGUCCAUCACAUGAUUCUCCUAAUGAUGUGAUCCCAUUAUCAAGUGACAACACUUGCCUAUGGCCAGGAAACCUUGACCAUCUUUGAUCAACGAACUAGUCAACUAGAGGCUCACUAGGGACAGUGUGUUGUCUAUGUAUCCACACAUGUAUUUGGGUUUCCAAUCAACACAAUUCUAGCAUGGAUAAUAAACGAUUAUUAUGAACAAGGAAAUAUAAUAAUAACUAAUUUAUUAUUGCCUCUAGGGCAUAUUUCCAACACUCCAUUGUUUCGGAGAACGGAGUCUUAGUCAUCUUGCCCAUGAGGCAUGGUUCGCACGUGUCACGUGAUUCAAAAUCAAGUGACUCCAAAAGCCCAUCGGAAUGGAGUUUCUUCAUUCGCUUUACACCAAUAUGACCUAAGCGACAGUGCCACAAAAACAUGGCGCUAUCAUUGUUAACUCUACAUCUUUUGGUCUCAAUGUUAUGUAUAUGUGUAUGAUCGCUAUCAAGAUUCACUAUGAACAAUCCUCUCACAUUUGGUGCAUGACCAUAAAAGAUAUUACUCAUAGAAAUAGAACAACCAUUAUUCUCUGACUUAAACGAGUAACCGUCUCACAAUAAACAAGAUCCAGAUAUAAUGUUCAUGCUUAACGCAGGCACCAAAUAACAAUUAUUUAAGUUCAUAACUAAUCUGAUGGUAACUGAAGUGAGACUGUGCCAACGGCGAUUGCAUCAACCUUGGAACCAUUUCCCACGCGCAUUGUCACUUCAUCCUUCAUGAGCCUUUGUUUAUACAAAGUAUCUGCUUCGACUUGCACAUAUGAGCAACAAAACAGUAUCAAAUACCGAGGCAAUACUAUGAGAGUUUAUUAAGUACACAACAAUAACAUGUAUAUCAAAUAUACCCGAUUUUUCCUUGGUCGCCUUCUUAUCAGCCAAAUACUAGGGGCAGUUGCGCUUCCAGUGACCCAUUCCCUUGCAAUAAUAACACUCUGUUUCACGCUUAGGUCCAGCCUUGGGUUUCUUCGUCGGAUUGGCAACAGGCUUGCCGCUCUUCUUGGAGUUACCCUUCUUGCCUUUGUCGUUUCUCUUGAAACCAGUGGUCUUAUUGACCAUCAACACGUGAUGCUCUUUCUGGAGUUCUGACUCUGCGACUUUCAGCAUCGCGAAUAACUCGCCGGGUGACUUGUUCAUCCGUUGCAUGUUAUAGUUCAACACAAAGCUCUUAUAGCUAGGUGGCACUGAUUAAAGAAUUAUGUGAGUGAUAGACUCUUGCGGGAGUUCAAUCCCCAGCUCAGUUAGACGGUUUGAGUACCCAGACAUUUUGAGCACAUGUUCACUGACAGACGAACUCUCCUCCAUCUUGCAAGGAUAGAAUUUGUUGGAGGUCUCAUACCUCUCGAUGGGGGCGUUCUUCUGAAAGAUAAACUUCAACUCCUGGAACAUCUCAUAUGCUCCAUGAUGCUCAAAGCGACGUUGAAGUCCCGGCUCUAAGCCAUACAAGACUACACAUUGAACUACCGAGUAGUCCUCCUUACGUGUUAACCAGGCGUUCAAAACAUCUUGGCUAGACGUAGCGGGUGGUUCAUCUCCUAGCGCAGCAUUAAGGGCAUAAUCCUUCUACCCAGCUUGCAGGAGCAGCUUUAGAUUACGAGCCCAGUCUACAAAGUUGCUUCCAUCAUCUUUCAACUUAGCUUUCUCUAGGAACGUAUUAAAAUUCAGGGUUGCUACUGCGUGAGCCAUUGAUCUACAACACAAAUAUUGCAAAGUGGACUUAGACUAUGUUUAAGAUAAUUAGAGUUUAACUAAUCAAAUUACUAAUAAACUCCCACUCAAGAAGUACAUAUCUCUAGUCAUUUGAGUGGUACAUGAUCCAAAUUCACUAACUCAAGUCUGAUCAUCACGUGAGUUGAGAAUAGUUUCAGUGGUAAGCAUCUGUAUGCUAAUCAUAUGAACUAUACGAUUCAUGCUCGACCUUUCGGUCUCAUGUGUUCCGAGGCCAUGUCUGCACAUGCUAGGCUCGUCAAGUUUCACCCGAGUCUUCUGCGUGUGCAACUAUUUUGCACCCAUUGUAUGUGAACGUUGUGUCUAUCACACCCGAUCAUCACGUGGUGUCUUGAAACGACGAACAGUCGCAACGGUGCAUAGUCGGGGAGAACACAAUUUCAUCUUGAAAUUUUAGUGAGAGAUCAUCUUAUAAUGCUACUGUCGUUCUAAGAAAAAUAAGGUGCAUAAAAGGAUUAACAUCACAUGCAAUUCAUAAGUGACAUGAUAUGGCCAUCAUCUUGUGCUUAUUGAUCUCCAUCACCAAAGCACCGGCAUGAUCUUCUUGUCACCGGCGCCACACCAUGAUCUCCAUCAUCAGGAUCUCCAUCAUUGUGCCGCCAUCGAGGUUGUCGUGCUAUCUGUGCUAUUACUACUAAAGCUACGACCUAGCAAUAUAGUAAACACAUCUACAAACACAAACGUUAGUUUAAAGACAACCCUAUGGCUCCUGUCGGUUGCCGUAGCAUCGACGUGCAAGUCGAUAUUAAAUAUUACAACAUGAUCAUCUCAUACAUCCAAUAUAUCACGUCACGUCAUUGGCCAUAUCAUAUCACAAGCAUACCCUGCAAAAAACAAGUUAGACGUCCUCUAAUUUGUUGUUGCAUGUUUUACGUGGCUGCUAUGGAUAUCUAGUAUGAUCGCAUCUUACUUACGCAAAAACCACAACGGAGAUGUGCAAAUUGCUAUUUAACCUCUCUCCAAGGACCGCCUCGGUAAAAACCAAUUCAACUAAAGUUGAAGAAACAGGCACCCGCCAGUCAUCUUUAUGCAAAACGAGUUGCAUGUUAGUCGAUGAAACCAGUCUCUCGUAAGCGUACGGGUAAUGUCGGUCCGGGCCACUUCAAUCCAACAAUACCACCGAAUCAAGAAAAGACUAAGGAGGGAAGCAAAUCGAACAUCAACGCCCACAAAACCUUUUGUGUUCUACUUGAGAUAACAUCUACGCAUGAACCUAGCUCAUGAUGCCACUGUUGGUGAACGUUGCAUGGGAAACAAAAAAUUUCCUACGCACACGAAGACCUAUCAUUAUGAUGUCCAUCUACGAGAGGAGAUUAGAUCUACGUACCCUUAUAGAUCCCUAAGGGGGAAGCAUUUAAGAAACACGGUUGAUGUAGUGGUACAACUUUGCGAUUCAAAUCACCGUCGUCCCACGAUAUGUUCCGAUCUAGCGCCGAACGGACGACACCUCCGCGUUGAGUACACGUACUGCUCGAUGACGAUCUCGGCCUUCUUGAUCUAGCAAGAGAGACGGAGAAAUAAAUGAGUUCUCCGGCAGCGUGACGGCGCUCCGGUGGUGGUGAUGAUCUACUCUUGCAGGGCUCUGCCCGAGCUCCGCUGAAAUCCCAUCUAGAGGUAAAACUACGUGGUAUAGGUUUGAGUUACACGUGGCAAAGUUGUGUCUCAAAAGCCCUAAAACCACCAGUAUAUAUAAGAGGAGGGGAGGGGCUAGCCUUGGGGCUCAAGGAUCCCCUUGGUGCGUCGGGCGAAGGGAGGAGGUGGACUCCCACCCCAAUUCGGUUUGGGGGAAGGAGUCCACUCCUUCCUUCCCACCUCCCUCUUUCCUUUUUUUCUUUCCUUUGGUAUUUUUCCACUUGUGGCGCCAUGGCCCAAUUGUUGUGGCGCCAUGGCCCUAUUGGGCUGGCCUUACCAGCCCACUAAGGGCUGGUGCGCCACCCUAGGGUCACUGGGCUCACCCCCGGGUGGGUGGCCCCCUCCCGGUGAAUACCCGGAACCCAUUCCUCACUCCCGGCACACUACCGGUAAUGCCCGAAACUUUCCGGUGACCAAAUGAAACCAUCCUAUAUAUCAAUCUUCGUUUCCGGACCAUUCCAAAAACCCUCGCGACGUCCGUGAUCUCUUACGGGACUCCAAACAACAUUCGGUAACCACACAUAUAACUCAACUAUACUAAAACAUCAUCGAACCUUAAGUGUGCACACCCUGCGUGUUCGAGCACUAUGUAGAGAUGACCCGAGACACUCCUCGGUCAAUAUCCAAUAGCGGGACCUGGAUGCCCAUAUUGGAUCCUACAUAUUCUCCGAAGAUCUUUAUCGGUUGAACCUCAGUGCCUAGGGUUCAUAUUAUCUCGUAUGUCAUUCCCUUUGUCCUUCGGUAUGUUACUUGCGCGAGAUUCGAUCGUCGAUAUCCGCAUACCUAUUUCAAUCUCGUUACCGGCAAGUCUCUUUACUCGUUCCGUAACACAAGAUCUCGUGACUUAGACUUAGUCACAUUGCUUGCAAGGCUUGUUUGUGAUGUUGUAUUACCGAGUGGGCCCCGAGAUACCUCGCCGUCACACGGAGUGACAAAUCCCAGUCUUGAUCCAUACUAACUCAACGGACACCUUGGAGAUACCUGUAAAGCACCUUUAUAGUCAACCAGUUACGUUGCGACGUUUGAUACACACAAGGUAUUCCUCCGGUGUGAGGGAGUUAUAUGAUCUCAUUGUCAUAGGAAUAAAUACUUGACACGUAGAAAACAAUAGCAACAAAAUGACACGAUCACAUGCUACGUUUAUAGUUUUGGUCUAGUCCAUCACAUGAUUCUCCCAAUGAUGUGAUCAAAUUAUCAAGUAACUACACUUGCAUAUGGUCAGAAAACCUUGACCAUCCUUGAUCAACUGGCUAGCCAACUAGAGGCUUGCUAGGGACAUUGUUUUUUCUAUGUAUCCACACAUGCAUCUAUGUUUUCAUUCAAUACAAUUAUAGCAUGGAUAAUAAACGAUUAUCUUGAAACAGGAAUUAUAAUAAUAACCAUUUUAUUAUUGCCUCUAGCGCAUAUUUCCAACAAAGAUCUCAUCUUCCACUUCACAAUAAGGCUCGUGCAAUUGUUGAAGACAUGAAGAAGAGGAGAGAUGCAGGGUUGAGAAAGUGGAGAGCCAUUGAUUCCUAUGUUGUGAGGAAAAGAACUGUUGUUGAUCACCGCUUGCACACAAGGGAACAACAAGAUUUUUAUGAGACUGUUUUGUUUGACAAGAGUCCUGCAGUGAGCAACAUGAUAUAUGUCGACUGGGAAUGCAUUAAAGCCAAUAAAGACUUCUUUCCCCAUGUGAGAGAAAACUUCAACCUUGUUGACAUUGAAGAGUUUGUUGGCAAAGAGAUGACUGCAUGGAAUGAUGAGAUGAUUAUGCAAUUCUACUCAUCAGUUCACUUCUAUGCAGAUGGCACAAUUGUCUGGAUGACUGAUGGUCAUAGAUACGAGGCCAUAAUUGAAGAAUGGGCUACUAUAAUUGGUGUUCCAAAAUCAGGAGAAGAGGACUUGGAUGUGUAUUCACAUCCUAAGAUCAAUCACAACUCCAUGGCUAACAUGUACAGGCUAGUGCCUAAUGACCCACAAGUAUAGGGGAUCAAUCGUAGUCCUUUCGAUAAGUAAGAGUGUCGAACCCAACAAGGAGUAGAAGGAUCUGACAAGUGGUUUUCAGCAAGGAAAAAUCUGCAGGCACUGAAAUUGUCGGUAACAAGUGAUUGUGUGGUGAGAUGAUUCGUAGCAAGCAACAAGUAACAAAAGUAGCAACAGGGCACCAAAGUGGCCCAAUCCCUUUUGUAGCAAGGGACAAGCCUGGACAAAGUCUUAUAGGAGGAAAAAACGCUCCCGAUGACACACGGGAAUUUCUGUCAUGCUAGUUUCAUCAUGUUCAUAUGAUUCGCGUUCGUUACUUUGAUAGUUUGAUAUGUGGGUGGACCAGAGCUUGGGUACUACCCUUAAUUGGACAAGCAUCCCACUUAUGAUUAACCCCUCUCGCAAGCAUCCACAGCAACGAAAGAAGAAGUAAGCCAAAGUCUAACCAUAGCAUUAAACUAGUGGAUCCAAAUCAGCCCCUUACGAAGUAACGCAUAAACUAGGGUUUAAGCUUCUAUCACUUUAGCAACCCAUCAUCUACUUACUACUUCCGAAUACCUUCCUCUAGGCCCAAAUAAUGGUGAAGUUUUAUGUAGUCGACGUUCACAUAAGACCACUAGAGGAAAAACAACAUACAACAUAUCAAAUUACCGAACGAAUACCAAAUUCACAUGACUACUAUUAGCAUGACUUAUCCCACGUCCUUAGGAACCAAAAUAACUACUCAGGAAGCAUAAUCAUAUCCAUGACUAGAGAGGUAAUGAGUAGCAUCAAGGAUCUGAACAUAAACUCUUCCACCAAGUAAUCCAACUAGCAUCAACUACAAAGAGUAAUCAACACUACUAGCAACCUUACAAGUACAAAUCGGAGUCGCGAGACGGAGAUUGGUUACAAGUGAUGAACUAGGGUUUGGAGAUGAGAUGGUGUUGAUGAAGAUGUUGAUGGUGACGAGUCCCCUCCGAUGAGAGGAGUGUUGGUGAUGAAGAUGGCGACGAUUUCCCCCUCCGGGAGGGAAGUUUCCCCGGCAGGAUCGUCCUGUCAGAGCUCUAGAUUGGUUCUGCUCAAGUUCCGCCUCGUGGCGGUGGCGAAUCCACGAAAAAGCUCCUCCUUGAUUUUUUCCUGGACGAAACCCUUCAUAUAGCAAAAGAGGGGCGAAAGUGUGCUAGCAGGCUGCCCACAAGCCCUCAUGGCGCGGCCUGGGGGGGGGGNNNNNNNNNNNNNNNNNNNNNNNNNNNNNNNNNNNNNNNNNNNGGCCGGGGGGGGGGGGGGGGGGUGGCCGCGUUGUGCAGGCUUGUGGCCAACCCCUGGCGCCCCUCUGGCACUUCUUCGGCCCAGUAUUUUUGAUAAAUCAGGAAAAAAAACUCAUUGAUUUUCACGGCGUUUGGAGUUGGGCAUAAUAGGUAUCUCAACUUUGCUCCACUUUCAGGCCAGAAUUCCAGUUGCCGGCAUUCUCCCUCUUCAUGUAAACCUUGCAAAAUAAGAGAGAAAAGACAGAAGAAUUGUACCGUGAAUUGAAAUAACAGCCAAAGAAGCAAUAAAUAACAACAUGAAAACAUGAUGCAAAAUGGAUGUAUCAGUGCCCCAUGACUAUAUGUCAUCUCACAAGCUUGGCUCUGUCUAUUUCUUGCAAGCAGGAAUAAACACUACAAACACUAUCUUGAAACAUAUCCUGAUGCCCAAAUGAGGCGAUGACAAAAUUAUUAGAGGCUAUUCCGUCAACAUGUUGCAUCAUCUAGACACCCGCACUUGCUUCAAGGUGAUGUAUUCGAUUGUUGAGACUGUCAAGAGAACUGAUGCAGACCAGAAGAGAUCAUGUGGAUAUUCUCCAUAUAUUCACAUGCUCAUCAAUACCAAGAUUGGCGAGCAUGCAUAUCAGCUUGAUCGUCCUCAUUUGCCACUUCAGCUAUAGUUUGAGGAUAAUGCAGUUGUGAUGGAUGACACCCAUCCCAGCUCAGCUACUUCUAGAGAGGCAACAAAGGCAGCAGCUGCGGAGGCUGCUAGGAACGCUCCAGCUCAACCCCCACAACUAAAAACAAGAGAUGAGCAGAUGUAUUUCUUGGUCAGCGCCAUCCAAGGGAUGGAGAAGAAAGUUUCAGAAAGAACAAAGAACAAAAUGGGGGGAGGCGAUAUUGACUGCAUGUCAUGUUCUAAACCGAGUUCCCACAAAGAACAAAGAUAUAACUCCAUUCAAGGAAUGGGAGAAGAAAAGGUUAAAACUAUCUUACCUACGAACUUGGGGUUGCUUGGCAAAAGUCAAUAUACCAAUUCGAAAGAAGCAAAAGCUUGGACCAAAAAAUGUGGAUUUUGUUUUCCUGGGUUAUGAUUUUCAUAGCAUUGGUUAUAGAUUCUUGAUUGUAAAAUCGGAGGUAUCUGACAUGCAUGUCGGUACAAUCAUGGAGUCGAAUGAUGCGACUUUCUUCGAAGAUAUCUUUCCCAUGAAGGAUAUGGGUAGCUCAUCAAAUCAGGAGAUACCUAGUUCAUCGAGUCAAGAUGUAGUUGCAAUUUCAAAACCGACCAUUGCAACACAACAUCUUGAAGAUCAUGUGGAGAACAACAAUGAGACUCCUAAAAGGAGCAAGAGACAAAGGACUACAAAUUCCUUUGGUGAUGAUUUUCUUGUAUAUCUCAUAGAUGACACUCCUAGUUCUAUUUCAAAGGCGUAUGCAUGUGAAAAUGCUAACUACUCGAAGGAAGCGGUCCGUAGUGAGAUGGAUUCCAUCCUGGCAAAUGAAACUUGGGAGAUAACUGAUCGUCCUUAUGGGUGCAAACCUAUAGGGUGCAAAUGGGUAUUCAAGAAGAAGCUUGGGCCUAAUGGUACUAUUGAGAAGUACAAGGACGACUCAUGGCCAAGUGUUAUACCCAAAAUGAAGGUGAAGACUUCUUUGAUUCUUACUCACCUGUGGCUCGACUGACCAAUAUUCGAGUACUACUUUCACUUACUACCUCACAUGGUGUUCUCGUUCAUCAAAUGAGUGUUAAUACUGCUUUCCUAAAUAAAGAGUUGGGCGAGGAAAUUUAUAUGGAACAACCAGAUGGGUUUAUAGUGGACGGUCAUGAAGGAAAAGUGUGCAAAUUGUUGAAAUCUUAAUGUGUUCUAAGUGGCUUUUUGAACCAGAGAUGUUAUCAUGCAGAAAUUCUUUUGAAGAACACACUUAUAUGAGUUUGAUUAUUAAUGUCGCAAUCUAUGAGAGUAGGGUGCUCUCUAGUAAACUCAUGAAAGGUCUCGGAGUAUGACGCAUAAGUUCCACCCGCGGGGAAGUCCCAUGGUAACCUAGUAUCGGUCAAGGCUCUCUCUAAAGCUAGAUUCAGAGAAAACUUGUAGUUCAAGUCAUAGUCCACUGUUCAAGUUGCUUACUAGUGUAGCAUAGAGUUCUAGGUGGAAGUUCAACUUAACACUUUCCACUGUAGUACCGUAUAUAAAUAGUAUUUUGGAACCAAAGGCAAAUUUUGUGUGCCUCUGGGAUCUCGUGGGGGGUUGCUGGAAUUUAACCGUUUUGGGCCAACCCAAUGACCAUUUUCAGAAUUCCUAAUAAAUCCUAGAGGCCCACUUAGCCCAUUCAUGCAAGGCAAGAGGUGGAACUAAAGUUUAGUCUCACAUUGCUAGUUUGGUAGGAGUUGGACCUCCUUAUAAGGAAGGAUGUUUCCACACAUGUAUGAGCAUGAGAACAAGAGAGACAUACACGCGCGCUCUUCCUCCUCCGCUGCCCGCCUCGCCUUGUCCCGACACACCGCGGGAAUAAGCCGAGCCGGUGACUAUUUUUUGCCGUGCACGACUGGUGUACCAAAGGUAGCUCGGGAGUUGAAACGCUUUGCUGCACACGCGAUUGGUAUACGAAAGGUCGCACUGGUGCUGAAACAUUUUGCUGUAGACGCUGCACCUCUUCGGCGGUUGCCUGUCAGUUUCGUCUCCCUCUUUUGCUUCGCCUCCCGUCGCUGCAUGUUCGCCUCCUUCUCUUGUGUCUAUAAAAAAGAGGUCACUCCUCUCCAAAGAGACACAUCAGAUCAUCAUCUUCCUCUCGCCAUCAAGUUCCAAACCCUGAGCUGAUGUUAGGUUCUUCCCCAUUCCGGCUUGCGGCGUGCACCACACGUCGGGACAGUAGGCCUCCAAAACCCCGUCGCUUUGAGUCAUGUACGAGAGAAGGGUGAUAAUGUUUCUGGGGAGCGCUCUGCGCGACUACUGGCUUCUUCAUCACAGACGCCGACGACCACUUCCCAGACUACCACUUCUUCCCCGACGUCAACAACCUCUUCGACAACAUGGUCGGUGACGAUGUCAAUGCCAAUCUCACUGUUGUUAAUGCUGCAACUCAGUAUUUGUUCGUGUUCCGCUCAUACUCAUCACUUGAGAUGUUACUUGCAUAUUCUUUAUAUGAUCGCAUGUCUUAUCUUAUAAUUGUUAUGGUAGUCAUGAUUUAUCUACUAUUUCUGCUAAUAAAAUCAUAUGAUAAAUCGCUUAUAUUUUCAACAAUUUAUUCCUUUUUCUCUCUUUCUCUUCCUCUCCACCAAUCACAUGCAAAUGACCGAACAUAUGAGAAAGAAAAUGAGGAGUGUGGCUGCACGGAAGCAUAAAUUGGGGACACUCCCGAUCACUAACCGGGCGCGUCCGCGGGCGUUUGAAUGUCCAAAUUUCCAAGUCGUGGCUGAAGAUACUCUUAGUACUCCCUUCUUCAUUUUUCUACUCUGCGUAUAUGAUUGUCUAAAGUCAAACUUUGCAUUAGGUGCAUUUUUUAUGUGUAUUGUUAUACGGAUCGCAAAUUCUUAGCAUGCAUGGUUAAUACUAGAAGGAUCAAGCGUGCGUUGCUGCAUCUUUGGUGUUGUUGUGUUUUUAUAAAAUAAAUUAGCCCAUUUAUUUUAAAAAUAUAUGUGUAUUAGAUUUUUAAAAAGUCAAAGCUCUUCAAGUUUGACCAAAUUUGUAAAGAACUAUAUUAAUAUUCGUAAUACCAAGUUGCAAUUAUUAAAUUCAUCAUGAAAUAAAUUUGCAUGUUUUAUUUAUUUACUAUUGCGGAUGUCGAUAUUUUCUACUCCAAACUUGGUUAAAGUUAAAUAAAUUUAAAUCUUCAAGAAAAAAAUACACCUUAUAUCUUGAAACUGAGGGAGAAUUUGAUUUGGCUAGUGUGAGAGGCGGCGGCCUAUGUUUCGUAUUUUAUUUAUAAUGUGGUGUUUUGAUGGGUCUUUCGUGGUGUGAUUCUGUGUUAUGUAAUUAAUCGAUAUUUACGUUAGAAAAAAAUCGCCUCACUGUCUGCAUGUAUUAUUUUGAUGUUACAAUAAUAUAUUUCUAGAUGUCUAGGGAUGCACGAAAUUGAUGUAUCAUUAUAAGUCGGUUGCUAUCGAUUAAUUUUAAAAAUCAUUAACCAAGUCGAAACCAUGAACCUAAUCUCAAAUCAAAUACCUCAAUCGAAUUAAAAAGCUUCAAAAUCAAUGAGCAUUGUGAAUUAAAAGAAUUCAAUAGAAGAGUUUAUUGAGAAAUUGUUAACCUAGUCAAAAUUGGGUGAAAUUAAUGAGCAUUGUGAAUUAAAAGAAUUGAAUAGAAGAGUUUGUUGAGAAAUUAUUAACCCGGUUAAAAUUGGGUGACCAAAUUUUAAUUGAAGACCUUAAUUCAUUGUGAGGCUUUCAAUUCUAAAGAAAUUAGUGAUAUACUUCCUUCGUUUCGAAAUAAGUGACUCAAAACUAAUUUAAUUUUAUACUAAUUUUAAUUCAAAGUUGAGUUAUUUUUGAGUCAUUUAUUUUGGAACGGAGUGAGUAGUAUAUUUUAACGUGACAAUGGAUACUAGUAUGUGCUUGAGCUAUGAGUAUGUCGAUUUUUUUUUUGAAAGAUCCAGCUGCUGGCUGGCAUAUAUUUAGAUAGCAGGAAGCAAGGCGGGAAUACAAAAGGGUGGGGUUGAUCAAAAGAUCAAAAGGACAUAACAGGAAGAAAACCGCGGAAAAAAAUGGUGAAAAUCAAGGUAGCCUGGCACAGACGCCGUACUCCUCACGUAAUUUCCCCAAACGGGUGCUCUAGGAAAACUGCUCCUGCUUGCCUCCAAGACUGGAGAGUUGUUGAGAUGGAGGUGGAUAUGCUUGCUGCUCUUGCUGUUUUGUUUCUGAAAGUGCACUCAUUCCUUUCUUUCCAGAUUUCUGACAAAACGAGCACGAUCGUUGUCCUGGUUUCUUUUUUGUACUCUGGUCUUACCUUGCUUAUCAUCUUGGUGAUGAUCUCUCUGGUUGUUUUGUUUUGGGCCCAAAUUAUUGGGCUUAGUGAGGCGCAUCAGGUGCGAGAUGCCGUCUCCCCCCAUACUGUUGUUGCGACGUUGCAUUUCCAGAAAAGAUGAUCUGCUGAUUCUAAAUUUCUGAGGCAUAGCUGACAGAAGUAGCUGUUUUGCCAGCCCCUUCUUUGCAAUCUGUCGUUGCACCAGAGCCUAUUUUUUGUCAGCAGCCAUAUGAAUAUCUUGACCCUUUGCGGUGCCCAAGUUUUCCAUGUAAAGUUGCUGAUUUCCGACGUUGUUCUUCCUAGGAAUUGGGCUUUGUAUGCUGAGUUGGCAGUGUAAGUCCCCGAGGCCUCAUGUCUCCAUUUGAUUUGAUCUCUUGCUUACUCUAUCAGCUGGAUGUCCGCUUCCUGGAUCCAUCUAUGCAGACGGAGGACGUCAACCCAAAGGUGCGUCGUGUCUCCGUGCGCAAGGUCGGCUAUCCAUGUGUUGCCUUGUAGCGCCUCUUUCACAUUCCUAUUUUUUCUCCGUGAGUGCCUGAAGAGCGAUGGGUAUAUCGUCUUUAGCGCCCCCUCACCCGUCCAGUGGCAUUUCCAGAAGGAGGCCGUUUUUCCAUUCCCCAGGGUGACUGAUGUGGAGGCGGUAAAAAGGGCUCGAUCGUCGUCAUUGCAUGGCAGCUGCAUGCCGUUCCAUGGCCUUUGCGGACUUGUCCAUGACAGCCAUAGCCAUCGCAGCCGGAGCGCUCUCGAGAAGCGAUGCAGAUCCAACACCCCUAGGCCACCGCUCUCCACAGGGAGCAAACUAUUGGCCAACUAACCUUGCAUUUUCCUCCACUGAAAUCUUCUUCAUGUGCCCAUAGGAAGCGGCGCCUAACCUUGUCUAUCUCGUCUAGGAAUUUUUUGGGCGUUCUCAGGACGGCUAGGGCGAAAGUUGGCAGCGCGGUGAGUACGCUACAAACCAGGACCCGCCUUCCUGCGAUGUUCAUUAGCUUCCCUUUCCAUCCGGCUAGCUUAGCUCUAAUCCUAUCUAGGAUGAAUUGAAUGUGUACCAAGCGAAUCCUGCUAAGGGUGAGAGGUAGUCCCAGGUAUUUUAUUGGGAAGCCUACCCUCUCCCCUCCGAAGGCUGCGAGCGCAACGUCGAGAUCUAUACCUUCGCAGCGUAUUGCCGAGACAGUAGACUUGGCAGGGUUGAUGUGCAGACCCGUGGCACUUCCGAAGUCUACAAGGAUGCCCAUAAUCUCUUCAAUUUCUUCCUGUAUGGGAUUUGCGAAGAUGACGACAUCAUCCGCAUAAAGACUAAGCCGUAGUGAGAUGUCUCUAUUUGGCAGUGGCUGGAACCUGUUCAUCUCAGAGGCCCUACACAGGAGCCUGUGCAUGGUGUCGAUGGCUAGGAUGAAAAGGAGUGGGGACAGCGGGUCUCCCUGUCGCAGACCCCUUUUGUGCCAGAUAGGUCUGCCCGCGGCGCCAUUUAGCGUUACCAUAGACGAUGCAGAGCUAAGGAGUAGUGCUAUCCAAUCUCGCCAUCUUGCUGGGAACCCUAGAUGCUGCAGUAGUUCUAAUAGGUAUUCCCAGGAGACGUUGUCGAAGGCUCUUGCAAUGUCUAGCUUCAGCAGCAGCGCGGGGGUCUUCUUUCGGUGUAGGGUUCUAACGGCAUUUUGUACGUAGAGGAAGCUGUCUUGUGUUGACUUGGCACAUAAGAAAGGUGAUUGUGCUGGCGAGAUUAAGCUAUCGAUGACCGUAGCUAGUCUUCUUGAAAGAACCUUAGCUAUAAGCUUGGAGAUCGAAUGAAUUAGACUUAUCGGUCUGUAGUCCUGUACCUCGGAGGCUCCUUCCUUCUUUGGCACUAGUACUAUCGUGGCAGAGUUAAGUUUGGAGAAGUCUCCUCUAGUGAGGUGAUAGAAGCUGUGAAAAGCCUCCAUCACGUCUUCCUUAAUUAGAGCCCAGCUCGUUUUGAAGAAAGUCCCCGUUAAACCAUCCGGUCCCGGUGCCUUCUCCGAAGGUGAUUCCUUGACUGCAUCCCAUACUUCCCCUUCUGUGAAAGGGUUGUCCAAGCCUCUCCCAUGAACUGAUGGUAGUUGUAAGGAAGGCCAGUCUAUUGUGACGGUGCGUGUAGCUGUUUUCCCUAACCCUUCGUUAAAAUGCCUAUAGAUGACUUCCUCUUUGUGUUGGUGUGUCGUAGCUAUGCCGUCUCCAGCCUUCAAAGUGCGGAUGAAGUUUUUUCGCCGCCUUGCUCUCAUCUUGAUGUGGAAGAAUUUUGUUCCCGCGCCGCCCAUCCUAAGCCAUGUAAGUCUAGAUGCCUGUCGCCGUCGUGCACGCUCGACCGCAGCGAGGCCGAGCAUACGCAGCUUGAGGAGUUUUCGAAGCUCAAACUCUGCAUCUGAGAGACACCUACUUUCUUGCGUUACAUCAAACCUAAGGACUAAUUCCGCCGCCAGGUGGAAUUGCAAUUUUGUAUCGCUGAAGAAGGAUUUGCUCCAAAUCUUCAGGUCCCGUGUAGUUCGCGUCAUUUUGGUGAGGAGACGAUGGAAAGCACAGGUAGACUGGACUGGUCUAUUCCAGGCCCGUUCAACCGUGUCGUGGAACCGCGGGAACCCCGGCCAGAAGUUUUCAAAUUUGAACAUGGCAGGGCGUGCGGUUGCUGAUGUGUCGGUGAGUACUAACGGGCAGUGGUCGGAGGUGGCCGUGGAUGCCGCGUGCAGUGACGCUGAGGGGAAUUGGCAUUCCCAAUGAAGGUUGCAGAAGAACUUGUCGAUGCUAACUAGCGUCGGGUUUUGUCGCUCGUUGCUCCACGUGUAGCGGCGGUUUUUACAUCUAAUUUCUUUCAACCCGGCAGUGUCGAUGGCCUGCCUGAACCUGCCCAUGAGCCUCCUGUUGAGGUUAAGGUUAUUUUUGUCCCUAGCCUCGUAAAAUAGGUUGAAAUCGCCGUUUAUCAACCACGGCUCCGCAGGCGGUGGCGUAGAGAAGGAUAGCUCGCGGAGAAACGCCUCCUUCCUGGCAUCGUCCGCUGGUCCAUAGACCGAGGAUAGCCAGAAAGGCUGGGUCUGUCCUAGCAGGGUGACCUUUGCAGUGAUCGCAAAAAUUCCUACCGCAUGCGAAACUAUUGUGGCGAACUCUUUAUUCCAAAGGAUUGCCGCCCCCCCGCUCGUGCCGAUCGCCGGAAGAGNNNNNNNNNNNNNNNNNNNNGAAGAGCGAUGCGUUUUGUGAGUUGUGUUCCUCCUAUCUCCUGCACUAGUUGUGGUGUCCAUGCGUCUAUCUUUGUCUCUUGUAGGCACAAAAUUGCUGCUCGCAAUGAUUUUUCCAUCGCGCACACUGAUUCCCUCUUUGCUGGAUGGUUUAGCCCUCUAACAUUCCAACACAUGAUCGGGGGUAGCUUUUCACUCAUGGGGGGAACUAACAAGACUCCGGUGACUAUAUUUCGUUGGCCUUUGGCCCAUAACAAACACCUCCAACAUAACCGGGGAUCGCCGUCGCCCACCAAUAGGCCCCAAACUACGACGGCGAUAGGAUACGGCCUCGCUAACCUUACACAAGGGAAAGAAACCUAGCUCUAACCGGCUGCCCGCCGGUCGCCACCGGAUAAAAACGAAAUUUUCUCUUAACAUAACUAGACUACGGCCUUCUCGGCCACUACGUCGGGGCCGGCCAUGCGAGCCAUGGCUGAAAGGGCCUCCCCGUCGAGGCGGGUGAGCUUGGCGAUGACGGCGAUGUCGCUGUCCGAGAGAGCCUCAUCGAAGCGUCGGAUUAGUGCCUUUGCUACAUCCUCAGUCAUCUUCUCCUUCGGUCCUAGCAGCCCUAGCUCCUUGACGAGACGGAGGGAGGCACGCUGCGCUACCGGGACGGUGGACGUGUUUGCUGCCUGACGCGUGCUGUGCCUGGUCGGAGCAGCCUGCACUCUGCUCCUCGCCGGCGGCACAGAUCUUCUGGUGGGUGGCGCGGCCAGCAGAGGAGGCCUGCACUUGCGGAAGAGGCCAGGUGCCCUGCUGCCGCUAGCUUUGACGAGCUCGAGCUGGCUCACACGGCUGGUCACAGCUCCCAGCUGGACCUCCAUCGUGCGCACGGAGGAGGGGGUCGCCCUGUUGAAGUGGCCGUAGUCGGACAGCGUGGGACUGAAGGUGUCUAGCUGCAGCGCCUCCCCUGCUGCCUCGAGCAGGGACCCUUCGUCGAAGAGCAGUGGCUCGGCCAGGACGGCGUCCGCUGCCGCCUGAACGUCCGCCGCCGUGCCGUCGACUACGGGGGGGGGGGAUCGGCUGCUUGCUCGCUGUCUUGAAGAACUCGUCCACCGGGUCUUUUCCCGUGUUCUCGGCGUGAGCCUCACGCGGCUGAGAUGGUCUGACAGAGUGGGGUGGCGGAGGCCUGGACCUGCCCCGCGGUGCGUGGCGCUGCCUCCCGACCGAGACCCUCCUCUCACCGCGGCGGCGGCCGGAGGAGUCCCGUGACCGGCGUCUCGGCGCUGCAGAGCGGCUGCGCUGUCGAGGAGCCGGUGGUUGUGCGGGGACUGCCGGAGCGCGGCUACGGCGGAGAAGAACGUCCUUCCAGGAGCGGUGUUCUCCCCCUCUCGGGUCACCAUCCCCGUCGCCGUCUUGCUCUCGGCCGCUGCGAGCCAUUCCCCGGCAGCCGACGCUGGCCACCGGCGCGCGUGCCUGGCGCUUCUUUCUUCCCCCAUCUUGGUCGUCCUCGGUCCCCAUUGUCCAGGACGCGGGCGCGACCGCCGGGAAGGGGGCGUCGUCGUCGUCCGAAUCGGAGGAUGGGAGUCCGCUCCGCUCGGAGUGGGAGGCACGGGGGGACGGAGGGGUCCAAUCUUCAACGCGGUCGACGUGGAUGAGCAUGGAGUACUCGGCCGUCGCCGGAGGAGGAGCUACUCUUCUGUCUGGUGGGGAGAAUCCCACCAUCUCCUCGACGCGGCCAGCUCCCCUCGGAAGGAUCCCGAGACAGUGUUUGGUGGGGAUGCUUCCGACGUCGUCGGUCCAAACCCAGCACGCAAACGUCUUCGUGUGGCCUCGCUCGAGCGUCCUGCUUUCGAGGCGAUCCACUCUGACCCUCCUCCCGAGGAUCUCCUCCGCCCCCUCUACAGACUAGAGGUGCAUGGGGACGCCCUCGAUGAUGACUCGGACAUGGAGCAGCAGUGAGCCGAACGAGGCGUGGUCGUGCUCGUGCCAGGAGGCGACGUUAAAGACGGCUCCGUCGACCUGGAUGGAUGCCCGGCGCAGCGCAUUGACCUGCUGUGUCGGCUGGGAGAAGAUCACCAGGUAGUGCUCCGGGUGGUGCGCCGUGACGCGCAGCGAGUGCUCGGGCACUGCGAGCUGCGCCUCCAGGGCCCUUCCCACCGCCAUGGGGGACGAUGCGUUGACGCCAUCGGCGGCAGACAGGGUGACGGCAUGGUUUCUAAGGAAGAAAAUGGCCUGGUCUACUGCCGGCGAGGGAACAACCACUGAGCGGCUGUCCCUGGGCCACCUCGCGGGGUCGAUGUGGUGUAGCAUUGUAGGCUUCAGCGGCGACAUGAGAGGAGCGACCGGGGGCGGAGGGAAGCAGACGCGCGCUUGUAGCGGCUGCCCAGGAGCAGGCGGGCCUAGCCGGCUGUGAGCCGAGACCGGCGCUCCCGGAGGGAGACGGCGGCGAGGGCAGCUCCUGGCGAUGUGGCCGGCUCUCCUGCAGAGUAUGCAGUGAAUGGGGUCUCUCCACUCUGCCCUGCGGUGCUUGCUACUGAGGCACCGAAAACACCUUCCUCUGAAUUGACUUAAGAAGGCCGGCGGGGUUGCAGCUCUGCCCGAGGGGCGGUGCUGCCUCUUAUCCGCCCAGGGCUGCCCGGGGACCGACGGGUCUGCCGAGGCAACGCGUCCCCUCCGGCGAGCCACCUCUGACCAUUUCCCAACCAGUCCCGAAAUGGGAAGCAAAGGAGCAACUACUAUGGACCUGAGGCGACGGGACGGCAAGGGCGUCUCAGCGACAGCGGGGUCCGGGCGCGGCGCAUUUACGGCGGGUCGUGGGGAGCGCAGCCUCGGCCGGUCCGUCGGCUGCAGGGGUGCAGAAGAGGGUGCCGCGCCGGGACCGGGUUGGAAAAGGGGGGAGCCUUCCUGCGUCGAGUAGGAGCAUUCCCCCCGCAGCAGGAUUCGCGGCGGCGCGGGGGGAUCGCGCGGAGACAUUGAUGCCGGAGAAGCCGGAGGGGACGCGUCCCGUCCCGCGGAUCCCGCCCCCUGCUUGACGACAGCGCGGACAGGCGAGGGACGACGGAUCUUGACGCGCAGCUCGGGGCCAUGAAGGCUGGUGGGUGGCCGCCGCGGCCAGAGCGGCCCGCGGCGCGGAGGGGAAGGGAGGGGCUCGCGGAUCUUGGCGCGCAGCUCGGGGCCUCCAAGGCUGGUGGGUGGCCGCCGCGGCCGGAGCGACCCGCGGCGCGGAGGGGGAGGGAGGGGGGCUCCCUAGUUCAUGCGCGGAGAGUGUUGUAGCGUCGAUCAGGAAUGGGACUUCGUAUGUCGAUUUGGCCUGCAUGUCGAUGGGCGAUGGCGUUCGUUGAGCCUAGCUCGGCGCCAAAACUGCAGGGGUAGAUGCAGGAGAGAAAAUAUGGCAGAUCGAACAAAAGUUGGCCAGAAGAGCAAAAAGGCUCACCUGGUACAAAAGUUGGCCAGAAGAGCAAAAAGUUGAGCAUUUUGGUGCAGUUGCUGGAAUAGAAACACUGCUGAUCGGUCAAAGGACAGAAGCCAACAGCAUAGCACUACAUGCAUGCUCGUUAAAAAAGCUAGUGGACACUGCAGGAAUCAUCACAAAAAUUAACGAACCGAGACGCUGAAUACCUGGCCUGAACUGGACUGCGGCACCAAGGAGCAGACCAGCCGGCAUGUGUUGAACAGCUCAUGGAAAGAGAUCUCACUGGGCGUGCGUACGUCCUUGCCUGAUGCUGGUCUCCCGGAGAGUUCCGAACCUCCGUCGUGCCGACGAAGAUAUAUACCAACGUACUUCCUCCGUAACUAAAUAUAAUCGUUUUAAAUAUUUUAUUAAAAGAUUACAUACAGAUGUAUAUAGACAUACUUUAAAGUAUAGAUUUACUUAUUUUGCUCUGUAUAUAAUUUUAUAAUAAAAUUUCUAAAAAACUUAUAUUUAGUGAGGAAGUACAAGGUGUAAACAUGGUUAUCAUAAUCCUUUGCAGUACUCAACGCAGGGUAAAACUUAAACCCAAUUCUAAUCCUUUUGCUCAGUGCCAGCCAACAAUCGCAGCACUGUAUCUAAGGGCGUGCCCGGACACUAAAACGGACACCGCAUCUCUGAGCAGCCAAUCCAUAGAGGGGUCCCGACACUAAUAUGGCAGCCGGCCAUUCAAAAUUAGUCGAAACGUCCGGUCACAUUUGAUGCAAAUUUAAUACUAUAAUUGAACAACUUUUACUCAAAUUUAGAUAGAUUUUACAUAAAACCGGAUGGUUUUCAUCUAAAAGAGAGCACAUCCAUUAUUUUUAAAAUAUAUUUCAACUAAAUUAUAGCGAACUAGGCUAUUCUAACCUAGUUUAAAUGAUUGCUCGUGUCCGUUUUGCAUAACAUGUCUUCGCAUAUUCGACAACAAACUCAUUGGUGGGCCACAAGCCCGAGGAACUGAAGCUUCGGUGUGACAGAAGAAUAGUGGCAUCAGCCUCCGCAAAGCGGGCAAUCUCACCGGUUGUGAGGCGAGACAAGACGGUGGCGGUGACCUUCUUGGUACCCAAGCGCCAACGGCCUCCCAUGUCCUAUUCUUUCUUGUUAUCGAUGGCGAUAAUGAAAAGUGUCGACAAUGCGGAGCUCGCAGCGUUGUCACUAACGUCGUCAAAUUCCUCCACUCAAUCUCCAUGAAGAGAGUCUUUCUUCGCCCACAUGACACGCAACCGCAAUCGCCCACGACAGAUGUCGCGGGCGGAAUAGUAGGGCAGGAAUGAGACCUUCUGCUCAUCCAGGUUUGCCACCAUGCUCUUGAUGACGUUGUCGGUCGCGUGGUCACAAAUGAUUUGCUGCUCCGCAAGUUAGUGCUCGUUCACGAGCCGGAGGUUGUAACUAUGGUGGCAUGCGUUGCCGCAACGCUGCUUCUAGUAUUGGAUGAUUCAUGCUUUUCCACCAGCAUGUUGGUGUAUUGUGUCCGUGACUCGCCCAUGGUGAUGCCGGCACAGACGGCAAGGGCAGAGCCGCCGACUUGUUAUCGGUCAUCUGUUCCACAGGCUCGUCUGCGUCGCUGUCCUCCGAAGAGCUCACCGUCAAGCCAACAUGUAUCUCGCUGGCUCAAGCCGACCGCAAUGCCGGAGAUCUCAUGUUUCUGUUUGUCCGAGAGGAUCUUCGAUAGGGCUUUGGAGCUCAAGGCCAUGACAAGUGUGGUGUAGAGAGGAGAUCGGAGGCAUAGGUUGAAAGCGGCACUUGGUGUAGAGAGGAGAUCGGAGGCAUAGGUUGAAAGCGGGUGUUGUCGGGCUUGGCCAAGCGACAGUGUUUUUAAUGCAGGUCGGCAUACAGACGGGGUGGCGCUCGCAUGUGAGUGCGAGAAUAGAUUCCUCGACAAUCACGUUUGUUUAACGAGUGAUGUUGUUUGAAUGCAAAUGGAAGGCGCAUGCACGGGACGCGACAUGCGCUCUCGGCUGGUGCGUCGCUUCUACACAUGCGCGACAACUGCUUUGUACGGGAAAGGACGCACAUGAGGGAGGGUCUUGAUGGGUCUAGGGCCAGUAAAAAAAUGGAUGUCUGAACCGUUCGUAGACGGAUAAUGUAUCGCGUUGGAUGACAAACACGUCUAAACGCGUGUGGAGAUGCUCUUAGGGUGAGUUCUUUUGAUAGCUUUUUGUUGGUUUCUAGAAUAAGCUGUCCCGGUCCCUAUCCAGCUUAUUCUAGAAGCUCAACUAAAAAUAUAUUUUUAGAAUCCUAUUAGUCAGGUCUUAAUUAGUAGGUUUUAAAAUAAAUAAAUUUAGUUGAGCUUCUAUAAUAGCUGGGCACGAGGCGGCUUUUUUCAGCUUAUUCUAAGAGUUCUUGACUUUGCCGGGGUCCAGCUCUUUGUGGGGGUCCGUUGGAAUCCAUGCUCCCCAUCAAGGUGCUUCAUCGCAAGUCCUGGGCGUCGGUCGUUUCUGCUCACGUUGAAUCAGAAAUCCCAUCAGAUGUGUUGCUGCAAUCCACUCUAGCAGCCCACGCUGAGAUGCUGGUGCGCGUUGGGAGUUUUUUGAAGCGGGCGGGGCCUGCUCUAGAAAAGCUCUCUCUUGUGUCUGUUGUGUUGCAUUCCACUCCUAUGAAGGUCGAUGUUGGUGGCUCAGUGGAGAACAAGGUUGCGGGGCUCUAUGGUUGUUUCUCCCCUCAAGCUGUGGAUAACUCGCAAGCGUCGUCUACCUUGCCUACUGUAGUGUCUACCACUGAGGGCGAGACCAUUCUCGUGGUCGUGCCUCAGGUGAUGCCUGAGCUUGAAGUGUUAUGUGCGAGCUCUUACCCGCCUCUAUCAACGGAGCGAAUGACGAUUGACAUGCAGACAAUCAUGUGCGAGGGACGUGAUUCAAUCUUGUCAUGUGAGCCGCGUCUUCUGAACUCAUGUGGGCGCUUGGAUGUGACUUCGGCUCCCGAUCCACCCCCGCAGGUGCAUAAAUCUAAUGCUCUCCUUGCAAAAAACAAAAAAAAACUUAUUGAUUUGCUCGCUACCGUAGAUGCUAUUAGCCCUGGAUUUGGAAGGGCAAUUGCUUGCCUUAUGAUGGGAACGACAUUUAACAACAAAUGCAAGGAGGAAGUGAUUGCCCCCGUGGCAUAGUAAAGAAGUCACUAAGGUGUAAAGGCAAGAAGAGUGAUGGCACAGUUAAGGCACCGACAACUACUUAAUGAAUGGCUCUUGGUUCCUCGGUUCGUCCUCAUGCUUUGGUUGUCAUUGUGGUUUUGGUGUGGUCCACUAUCUUCUGUUAUGAUGUUUUUAUCGGGUUAUGUUGUGUUGUACAAGUGUUGGUAGUUAUGGAUGUUGUUGAGAGGGUUUGGCAGGUUUCAUGUGUGUUCGUGGGAUCUCACGAUUUAUGAGUAGUCCGAUUAUGGGUUGAUUGCAUUGAUUUUAACCCGGUUUUUUUUUAUUUAACUGAGCAAUUAUCUUCUUCUUAAUUAAUCGAUGAGGUAAAUUUUUUCUCCCGUUUUGAAAAAAGAGCUCUUAACUAAGUUCUCGGCCGGCGCCACAAAUACUCCCUCUGUUCCUAAAUAUAAGGCGUUUUGGCAGUUCAAUAUAAACUGUCAAAACGUCUUAUAUUUAGAAACAGAGGUAGUACAUUUCAUGAAUAGGUUCAGAGCGAUUUCGCAACGAGUCGUCCGAUUCUUGGUUGAACUUUCAACAAACCACUGUUGUCAAUUCACACGCGGUUGCAACUGGGCCAACGAAGAUCCCUUCCACAAGACCAGCACUUCACUGGCAUGCGGUGCGCAGGAAGAGUACGGCAGAAUCAGGUGAGGCGCCAGUGCACGGACACCGAAAACGGCUCUGCGCUCCCGGGAAUCGCUAGUUGUCCGGCUGCCCUCCCGACCAAGCAAGCGAGUGAGCGACCGUAGUCAGACCUCACUCAUUUAGCACCGCCGUACUGGCAGAUGGCCAUAUUGACUUCCGAGCCGAGCCAGACUACAUUUGCUACAGCGCGAGAGCGAGAGGGUCCACCAAGCCGACCUACCUCGCCGCGCACCGACGCCGGCGGGCGAGCCCAGCGAAUUAAGCCGGCGGAACGAUACCUCGCGUGCCCGCGCAACGUACGUAAGGCACUAGGCCAACUCCAACGCACGACUUUCGUCCGUUUCGGGGUGAAUUGCUCAUAAAUUAACUGAGCAAUUCCCUUCUUCUUAGGCUGGUUGUAAUGGGUAGUACUCCCUCCGUCUCAAAAUAAAUGUUUUAAGCUUAGUAUAAAUUUAUACUAGAGCUAGUACAAAGUUGAGACAGUUAUUUUGGGACAGAGGAAGUAUCAUAUAUUACUACUCCCUCCGUCACAGUUUAUAAGGCAUGCACGUGUACCUAGAUCGUUAAUUUGACUUCCAUAAAAUAUAUUGUUUAACAUAAAUAUUAUAUCAUUAGAAAAUAGAACAUCUAAAGUUUCUAAUAAUAUAUUUUUUAUAAUAUAUGUCUCUCAUUAAGUUGGUCAAAUUAACGACCUAGAUACACGUGCCGGACUUAUAAACUGAAACGAAGGUAGUAUCAUGCAUAUGAUAUUAGUGUAUGAUACCACAUCUAUAAUGCAUAGUAUCAUAGGAUAAUUCAUUUAUUAUAAUGCAAGACAUAUAGUAGCACAUCAAUAAUAUGAUACGAUAUCGUAUCAUGAUACUCAACCCUCUCUUUCUUCAUUUAAUUCUAUGCCAACUCAUCAAAAUUAUCUAGUUGGCAUGCAUAAUACUACCUAUGAUACUCCUAUUACGGACAGCCUUAAUUAAUAGGACCGCAUCCACUCAGAUUUGUGAUGCGUUGAUCGUGUACCUGGCGUGCUGCCACAUUUCGGCCACAUAUAAUUCUUGUAACAUAUUUUUUAUUAUUUUUUGUUAUUGAUUUGUUUCACAUUGAAAUACAUCAUUAAAUUUUGACUAGAAUAAUAAGAUUAAAGAAAACAAGAACCAUAAGGUGACAUUUUAGAAAUUCAAUUUUUAUAAGUGCUUUCGUAAAUUGAAUUAGUGCCUUCUCGAUGCAUUCAUUGUUCAUACUUCUUUCUUGUUUGAGUUUAAAAAAAUAGACGUUGCUUCUUCGAGAUGGGGUGAGCUAAAAUCCGACCGCGAAAUGCGCUGAAAUCUGACGGUCGGGGUUGGACGGUUCGGGGCGUCGAAGAAAGGGGUUUGCGAAAGGGAAGGGGGCGGGCUAGCGGUCAUGCUGAACAGCGUACAACUGAGAAAUUAUGACAACGGCGACGGCUAGAGACGAGAGGGGAGUGGGGCGCAGGGUGCGACGGGAGGAGAGGAUGAAAUAGAAAAAGGAUAGCAUGUGUCCCGGACGGACGGGCCAGGGAAGGACAUGGACACGUGCCACGCGUCAUCUGCACGUGUUCGUUUAGCCGCAAAUGUGAUCAAAGUUGGAUCAAAAAUGAGUCAAAAACGAACACCCCGCGUUGCAUGGUGACCGGGCCAUUUGGGAUCGUGCUUUUGGAGUUGGCCUUACUCGGCCGGCCGGCCGGCCGGCGUACAUGCAUCAACCGAUAAGGCGGGCAGGCCUGCAGCUACGACCCAUGCCACCGCCGCGUGAUGGAGCGAGGAAGCUGGCCAUCACACGACACGGCACCUUGCAUUGCCCAUUGGCGUGCUGCUUGCUUCCGCGGGGAGCAACGCCGGGUGCAGGGGAUGGAUGCAGCCCGCGUGUGUCAAUCCAAGCGUAAAUGAGGCGUCGGUGACCGUGAGGCGCAGAGGGGGGCGCCAUUAUUCGGCCGGGGGCCGCGCGUCGUGGGAGCGGCCUGAGGUUGUCUGGCGCAGCGAGCAGCGACGCCACCGCUCGGCUCCGUCAGUGUGUCCUGGCGAAACGGUCAGAGUGUUCAGCCGGCGCCCAAAUUUCCAUCGUCAAACAGUUAUUACUGCUACCAAGGAACGGCGGCAGAAGAACGGCAAGCCGGUGAGGCGAAAAAACGACAGGUCGAGCCGGAACCUCACUGUGGCGGACCGGAAACAGAGAGCACCAUGCUACACAGCCACAGCCCAACUGACAGACAAGAUCAUGCUUACCUUUGGCCGCACCCAAACAAGACUAGGAACAAGAGCAAUUGAGAGACAGUUUUUUUUUCCUUUCCAAAAUUCCGUUGGAGGUGUAUGGUGAGAUAUUACUUUGGGGAAGAGAAAGACGCAUUGGUAUGCUUGGAAUAAAAUGACUAUGUCUCUGCCCCUGCUCCGACAAAGCAAUGAGCUUGGAAUAAAAUGACGAUGUCUCUGCCCCUGCUCCGACAAAGCAAUAAGCAUUAGGGUAUCCACCCACCCGCCACUUCGAAUAGCCGGUUUCCUUCCCUUCCGCUAAAAGGUUCUGGGCUACGGCUUCCAGUUCCGGUUCCGUUAAUCGGAGAAGAAGCUACACAAGUACUUAUCUGAUCAGAACGGCAUUUUACACUGUAUAAAACGUCGGAUACAACUUGCAAACUACACGGACAUAAACUAUCAGGGGGGCUCACAUAUAAGGAUAGACCAAUCAAUUUCAAACUGAACAGAUGAUCAUACAAAUAAAUAUCCACGCGAGCGAUUUGUAGCGAGGCAACAUGUUUUUGCUUAUAUACAACCACAAGGCAAAACAACCUAGAACGGAAUGGCCCCGACAGGUAACCAUCCACGACACGCAGAAUCAAGCAGAAAAUCUGUUCUCAAAAGUAAAACAAAAAUCAAGCCAUAAAAAAUAUUGCAGAAUGCCUGAAUAGAAACCCAAAAACAGCUACUGGAAAUCACAGUGAAGAACUGGAUUCAGAUUACCGACGUGUACUAUAUUCUUUCUGCUAGACAAACUCUUGUUGCGAAACAAUAUUAGUGGUUCCAAUUCAGGCCUUGUUGAUUUUGCAGCUAUUCUUUAAAGGAUCAAAUGAUCAAUAGGAGUUCACAUAAAAAAGAACACAGAAAUACCUACAUUGCAAGAUUUAAACAGACAAGAUGUUCAGCUGCACACUCACAUUCACACGAUGUAUCAACAGACUGACGUCAGGAUAACUAUCACAUUAUAAAAAAAGGAAGGCCUCAAGCCAAGAUUCCUUGGAAGACAGCAAAAAAUGACUGGUUUGUCAUGAAUGUUGGACAGUAAAGCACUAAAUAUACGACACGGCUAUACAAGCAAAAUUGCAGUCACAUUUGAAAAGACAACACUAUAGCUGCAAUAUGCCUGAUGUACUGAAAAGAACUGAGAAGCCCCCAUGAUAUUAUGGCUCAAAAGGGAGGCACUCUUCAGGCACAUACAAUCUAUGGUAAGCAAAAACACUUGCAAUAAGAGCAAGCGAAUCAAAGGGAACAUGAAAAUAGUGACAAUCAGAAUUAUAAAUGCACAAAUGCAAGGACAAUUAGCAUAGAGAAAGUACCAGGAGAAGAACCAUAUCUAACUAGCUAAUAAUUAGUGCCUGAGACACACCAGAAUUGUAAGGCAAUAUCGCUGAUCACAAUUCAACUCUGGUGAAUUAUGAAGCUAUUUAUUUAAGAUAAGCAAAACUAAAAAAAAAUAGUGAACAUUUAGUAUCUGAGAUACACAAGAGUUGCCGAGCAAUAUUGCUGAUCCCAGUUCAGCUCUGGUGAACUUUGAAGCUGUUUCUUUAAGACAAGCGAAAAUACCAGUUCGAAUUAAGUGAACAACUAGUAUCUGAGAGACACCGGAGCUGCAAAGCAAUAUUGCUGAUCCCAAUUCAGCUAUGGUGAAUUUUGAAUCUAUUUCUUCAAGACAAGCAAAAAUGCUAGUAAGAGUUCGCAUAGAAAACACAUAGACCUGCAUUGUAGUGAAUAACUAGUGCCCGAGACACCAGAGCUGCAAAGCAAUAUCGCUAAUCACAAUUCAGCCCUGGUGAAUUUUGAAGCCAUUUCUCUAAGAAAAGCAAAAACACCAGAUCAAAUUAGUGAACAAUUAGUAUCUGGGAGACACCAGAGUUGCAGAGCAAUAUUGCUGAUCCCAGUUCAGCUCUGGUGAACUUUGAAGCUGUUUCUUUAAGACAAGCGAAAAUACCAGUUCGAAUUAGUGAAUAACUAGUGCCCGAGACACCAGAGCUGCAAAGCAAUAUCGCUAAUCACAAUUCAGCCCUGGUGAAUUUUGAAGCCAUUUCUCUAAGAAAAGCAAAAACACCAGAUCAAAUUAGUGAACAAUUAGUAUCUGGGAGACACCAGAGUUGCAGAGCAAUAUUGCUGAUCCCAGUUCAGCUCUGGUGAACUUUGAAGCUGUUUCUUUAAGACAAGCGAAAAUACCAGUUCGAAUUAGUGAAUAACUAGUGCCCGAGACACCAGAGCUGCAAAGCAAUAUCGCUAAUCACAAUUCAGCCCUGGUGAAUUUUGAAGCCAUUUCUCUAAGAAAAGCAAAAACACCAGAUCAAAUUAGUGAACAAUUAGUAUCUGAGAUACACCAGAGUUACAGAGCAAUAUUGCUGAUCCCAGUUCAGCUCUGGUGAACUUUGAAUCUGUUUCUUUAAGACAAGCGAAAAUACCAGUUCGAAUUAGUGAACAACUAGUGCCUGAGACACACCAGAGUUGUAAAGCAAUAUUGCUGAUCACAAUUCAGCUCUGGUGAAUUUUGAAGCCAUUUCUCUAAGAAAAGCAAAAACACCAGAUCAAAUUAGUGAACAAUUAGUAUCUGGGAGACACCAGAGUUGCAGAGCAAUAUUGCUGAUCCCAGUUCAGCUCUGGUGAACUUUGAAGCUGUUUCUUUAAGACAAGCGAAAAUACCAGUUCGAAUUAAGUGAACAACUAGUAUCUGAGAGACACCGGAGCUGCAAAGCAAUAUUGCUGAUCCCAAUUCAGCUAUGGUGAAUUUUGAAUCUAUUUCUUCAAGACAAGCAAAAAUGCUAGUAAGAGUUCGCAUAGAAAACACAUAGACCUGCAUUGUAAAAUCUAAAUAGAGGAGAUGUUAAGCUGCAAACUCUACAUUCACAGUAUGUACCGAUGUGAAAUGCUUGGCACACUAAAGCUGUCAAUGUGAGCAUAACCAACAAAUACAGAACAAGAAACGCAUCAAAAGAAGAUUCACUUGUCAGCCGGCAAAUAAAUAACUGAUCCCCCAUGAAUGGUACACAGUAAAGCUGGGUUGCCCUCAAGCUUAAGCCUCUAAGCAAACCAACAAGGGGCGCGCCUACAUAAAACGAUAAAGCCCAAAAGAAUGAACUGUCUAUGAUCUAGCAAUGCCUCCCAAGAUACAGUCAGCUAUAUUCAGCAUUGUGGCUACAAAGAACUGAUGAGCCACACUAUUCAGGCAAACAAUCUAUAGUAAGAAAAGAUAAUACACCAAGACCACGGGAAGCAAAUGGGAUAUGAUGAAAUUAGUAAUCGUCAGAAAAUGCAGAGAGAUAAUUCACACAGAAGUAACCAGGAAAGGGACUUCUCUAACCUAUCUCAGAGGUUAUACACCAAGGCAAAAGGAGAAAGAACUGAGAAGCCCCGCAUAUCAGGCAAACAAUCUACAGUAAGGAAAGAGAAUAAUACAACACGAGCAAGACAAGCAAAAGGAGAAUGACAAGAUUAGUAAUCAUCAGAAUUGUAAAGCACAAUGCAAAGACAACUCAUAUAGGAAUGACCAGGGAAGGACCUUUUCUAACUAAUUGGAGGUUGCACUGAGGCAAAAGGGCACUUGACUAAUUGAUAUGCACUCUACAUCCAUGUAUACGAUAUAAAUAAAGGGACUGUAAUCUACUUCUGUUCUGUCACAAUUUAGUUCAAACUCGAUGUUAAGAGCAUUUCUUAACAGUCUACUAACAUAAUAUAGAACAGUGUAAAUCAGUGUAUUGAACUGCCGAGGAAACUGCGAACUACUCCCUCCGUCCGGAAUUACUUGUCACAAAAAUGGAUACAAAUGGAUGUAUCUAGAACUAAGAUACAUCCAUUCUUACGACAAGUAUUUCCGGACGGAGGGAGUAGAUGUAAGCUUUAGCUGGAAAUGGAUGAGAAUCCUCUGACUACACAGUCCAUGAAUAUAGAUCAAUUCAAAAAUGAACAGCCAACACAUGGAACUUCUAUAACCAUAAUGAAAGAGGCCGCUUUCAAAAAAUGUUUCUACCAAAGAUACCUUCAGAAAGUAAAAUUUAAGAGGUGACAGUUCAGUUAUAACCCCAAUUAAAAAGGUCGCUCUCAAAACUACCCAAGUGCUAUGACUGGACGAGAGAGGAGAAGAAAGAAGAGGAUGGGUUGAUGGGUGUGACCAGACUACUAGAGAGGGCAGCAUCUGAAAUCAUCCUCCGUUCCUCAGACCGGCCACUGACCUGAUCCUGGUACAUACAUGAUUCUUAGACUCUGAAUCAUGUCUAGGGAAAGUUUCUUGAGUUAUUUGGAUAUGAUUGCUAUUCUUUACAUAAUAGACAGUCCUUGCUAAAUGCUACUCCUUUCUUCCCAAAAUAAGUGGCACUAAACAGAAUCCUGACAAUAUAUAUGAACAACAGCUGAGCUUAUCCUUGUCCAUGACGCAGAGACUCAGAGCUCAUGACUGGGAAACAAAUUCUUUGGUCAUCUCUGCUUAAUCUCCUAAUAAAUGGUUAAAUGAUGCCCCUCUUCACAUAAUACAGUACUUCCACCGUCCAUUGGUAUGGAAGCAUGGACCAGAAAGUUCGACACCAGAAAGUACCCUAUUGGUCUGGAAGCAUGGACAUAUAUACUGUAGUAUACAGCUUGAACCAACUAGUGGUAGAAUUGGAGUCAUUGACUGCCAUGGUUAGCCAUGCGCCUGUCCAUGACGGGAGGUAGGUGAUUCCUCAAACAAAACACACAACAGUAAGCAAUCAACACUAUAUGCAUGACAAAAGAAGUGUUCUUUUUGCUAUCUAUCAAGUGUUUAACUCUACAGGUCGUGUGAAGAAUCAGCAUAGGCAGACUUUAACCAGUAUCUAGAGCGUGUUUCAUCAACUUCAGCAUGCAAAAUCAAACAACAAAAACUCAGUCAUCUAACCUAAACACAUUCAGCAGAGCAAGUAGUUGAGGGAAAGGUAGUACCUUUUCGGUGUCAAGCAAAGGGAUAUAAUCAGACAUCACACAUUCAAUCAGCAGACAGGUUUCUCCUUUUCUCUCAUAAAUAGUUCAUCAUUUAUUUAACUAUCCAGUACUCAGUGAACAGAGGUGGUUUCCCCGCCCUCUGUGCCUAGACCAUACAACACACCAGCAUAUUUCUCAGUCAAUCCACCGAAGUAUGACUCCUUGAGCUUGUUGAAAGAGAGCGCUGUGAGCAGAGAAUCAGAGCCUGCCUGAUGGCAGAUUCCGACCCGCUCGACGUCGAGCAGCUCAGCGAGCUUGUUCAGUCCGCCGUGGAGGCUGUUGCAGAAUCUCAUCAAGUGCUUGAUGUCGUAGAUCACGGGGAAGUAAAUCCUGAUGAGGUCGAAGAAGCCGGAGCUGGUGUCCGGCAGGUUGGAGCCGGUGAGCAGCUUGAGCAGGUAGCCGAAGUCGUAGCCGCUGUGGAAGGUGACCCAGUGGAUCUCGGCGUUGAGGACGACCCCGGAGGACAUGAGCAGCUCGGCGAAGCGGCGCGAGUCAGCCCCCUCGGCGGCGUGGCGGGCGAAGUCGAUCCCGCUGCGGCGCAGCAGGUCGAUGGAG